rnacentral:lncRNA from 1 species
UUUUUUGUUUUUUUGUUUUUUUUUUUUUGGAACAUGAUCUAGUGAUCAUGAUGAUAUCCAUCAACUAAAGAUGGUUCAAAAUUAUUUCUUUUUGCAAAACCAAAAUAAAAUUAUAUUCAUAUUAUUGGAUUUUUGUUUUUUUUUUUUCCUAGCUAUAGGAAUUGAAAUAUUAUUGUUGAAAAUUCUUUUUUUUAAAGUGGGUUGAAAGAAAAUGAUUCAAUGAUCAAGUUCAACAAUUAUGUUAAAUUUAAAAUUAUUUUUUAUUACAUAAUUCAUGAUAAGCUAAAAUAGUAUCCAUAUUAUGACAUUUUUAUUUUUUGAAUUGACUUUAAGGUGCCACUUCACAUUAAAUUGGUAAAGUCCUUCUAAUGACAACUUUGGAGUAAUAGCUCAUGAACUUGAUCAAGAAUGAAAAUAUAAAAGUAAUAAAUAAUAACAAGAGCAACAAAUGCAGACGAAGAUUUGAAUGUGGUUUCGAAUGAUCUCAUCUAUGUCUACAACUUCAAACUCCAACCCAAACCUUGAAAAAAUGAUCCUAUAAGGGUCCUUUAGGACAAGGAUUCCUUUGAUAUACACUUAGAUUUUAAUGAGUGUAAGAGUUGCUCACGCAAUUUAAUACAAGAAGAAAGGUAGCUAGAAAAAAAGAUGCAACAAAAGGGUAAUGUCAAUUUUGUAUAAAUGAAAUAAUGAAGGUAUUGAAGGCUCACACUAAAUUCACACAAAGGAUUUUUAUAUGGUAAUUAUUAGGAUAAUGAGUGUUCAUUGUAUGCUACUAAUUUUGUUCAAUUUUAUUUUUCUGCUUAAGAAUAUUUUAAGAUAGUGAUUUACUCUUUAUUGAAGAUUCGAGGUUAAUAUUUCUUCAACCAGAAAGUUACAAGUAUGUCUAAAAAUGUUUAACUUAUGAAAAAAUAGGUUUUUAAAGGGUUAGUUAAAAAUCAUUAGCAAUUGAUGCACUAUGUAAGUGAUUAUUAUAAGAAAAACAAACAAGUUGGUCAAUUCACUGGUGAGUCAAUUGCCUGAUCCAUCUAUCCUUUGUCCAUUAGUUAUUUAUCCAAAGUGAAGUUUUAAGGAAGACAUCAUUACAUAAGUGGUUGACUACUAAUCUUGCCUUUCCAAAAAACAACACUAUUGAGAUCUCCAUCUUUUAAUAAGGUAUGUAAGACAUACCAUAAAAAUAUUAUUUUGAGAAAGAGAAUGUCUAUCAAUUUGAAUACAUUAAGCAAAGUUGCUUUUAGAAACAAAAAUAAAAAUGAAACCCACUUUAAUUGCAACUUGUCAUAGCUUUAUCUAUACUAUCUAUAAAAGUACGAGUUAUUUAUCACUUUUUUAGUUCCAAAUUAUGGUGUCUCCAAGUUCUAUUUCAUUAACUAAUUUAAUAAGUUUUUUUUUUGUAAUUUGUGGUGUCACUUUUAAUCUUCGCAACUAAUUUUAGCCUUCAAAUUCCAUUUCAUUAUCGUUUCAACAGAGUUUUACUGCAAUUUGUAGCCACUUUUAAUCUUGUCAAUUAAUUUUGUAAUUAUUUGACCAUCACUCUAAUCCAUUUAUUAUGAAGUUUUAUAUUUUGUCAUUCUAUUAAUCCAAUUUUAUAAUUUUUACUUAUAUAGUUCUCCCAUUUCAUAAUUGUAUUGUGGUUUACCUAGUUUCAUCGUCUCUAUUGCAUGUAUUUUAUGGAUCUUGGUUUGACUUCUUACUUUUAGUUCACAUAUGAUUUUUAUUCAUAUAUAUAUAUAUAUAUAUAUACUUGUAUUUCCUUAUGCUUUUGUAUUUUAUUGUUACUAGAUCCUAUAACUAUGAACUUAGUGAUAAUAAUCUAUCAAUGUUAUGAAUUAUUAUUUUUGAAUUUCUCAAAGUAAUAUGAAUUUGUAUGUGUAUAUUUUAAAAAACUUUUACUAUUAUUUCAUAGAUUUUGCUGUUUUAAUAUAUAAAAUCCAUUUGUUUGAUAUAAUUGAUUUUUGUUUUAAAAGAGAGGAUAAUAGUCUAAAAAAUAUUAUUAUUUUUUUUUCCUUUUAAUAGACAAAAGAUAUGUAUUAAAAAGGUUUUCAACAUGAGAUGCAUAUUCUUAAAUCUUGAACAAAGGUCGUUAAUGAAGAUUUGAAGUGGGUACGAAAUAUUUUGUCUUGACAAUCUUCAAAUUUAAGAAAUAUGACCAUUUUUAAGUUUGGAGAGCUCACUUGAUUAACAUGUUAAUUUUUUUAAUAUUAUACAGUGCAAUUUUAUAUUAUUUUAUUCUUGUUAUAUAUAUUUUUUAAAUGGUUUAUCAACAUUUUGAAGUUUUUUCAUAUAUCUAAAUUUAAUUCGAGUGAAUGGUUUGACCAUAAAAGUGUAUUUGUAUCUUUUUUUUGCAAUUAAUGUUUUACUCUUUUUCAAAUACAAAAUGCCUAAUUGUCUCGGUGGUGGUAUUUAAUUUCAAAUUUUUAUAAAUUAUUUGUUUAUUUGUUGGUGCAAAUUGAAAUUUCUAUUUGAACCUCUAUCUCUUUUAUUUGGUAUUUGAAGCUAAAAAACAACUUAACUACUAGGUUCAAAGGUUCGAAAUCCUUUUCCUUGUAAUUUAACUCAAAUAAUUGUAAACUCAGUCCAAAAAAUUUCAAAUUAAAUUAAAGUCGUAUUAAGCCAAUAUCAAUCUAAAAUCUGAAUCAAGAUUUUGUGAUAAUAUUUUUAUUAGACUUAAUAAAACUUCUUAUUAUAGUAAAUUAACUAUAGUGACAUUUUUAUAGUCAGCUAAGAUGACAAGUUUGGACCAUUGGGCUAAAACCUGUUGUGGACCCUGUAUUUUGCUCGAUGAGUUCCCACUUGAUGGUGGACUCGUUUUUUAUUUAUUUGAAAAUUUGAUUUUUCUAAAAAGACUUGAAAUCGCCACUUAUUUUUAUUUUAUUAUUUUUUUUAAGAAAAAACAAAAUAAGAAAGAAAACUCUUAAUGUGACUCCUUAUUUGGAAAAUAUAGUAUGUGGAAAACCAAAGUUGAGUUCAGAGGUCAAGUUACCUAUUGUGAAGGUAUGGUGGUGAGUUGUAGGAUCCCUCUAAACUCCUUAAAAAUGGGUUUCUACUAAAUAAGAUGAAACAAAUGUGACAAUUGAUGAAGAAAUCAAUGGAUACCAAUGAAAUGAUCAAAUAAUAAAACAAAUCGAGCAUGAAAAUGAAUAAAUAAAUAAAGUAGAAUUGGAGUCUUGAAAAUUAAAUUUGAAAAUUGGAAUUUUGAAAAAUUAUUUGAAAAUGAGAGUUUUGAAAAUUAAAUUUGAAAAUGGGAAUUUUGGAAAAUUAUUCGAAAAUGAAAGUUUUGAAAAUUGGAAUUUUGAAGAAUUGUUUCAGAAGGGAAUUUAAAAAAAUAUUAUUUGAGAAUUGAAUUUCUUAAAAAUUAAAUUUGAAAAUUGAAAUUUUGGAAAAUUAUUUGAAAAUUGGAGUUUUGAAAAUUAAAUUUGAAAACGGAAAUUUUUGAAGAAUGAUUUGAGAAUGAAAUUUAAAAAAAUAAAUAAUUUUUUAACAUUAAAAGAUGAAGAAUUAAGAUGACAGACAUUUGGGCCUUUGGGGUAGUACAUUGGGAGUGGCCAUGCAUGGCUAUGCGAAAAUGGGCCCGGGGUGCAAGGUUGUUUCUUUGUGGUUGCUAGAAUUGAGUAGCCAAAAAUUCCUCUCACGCAUGUUGGGACAUGUUUAUUCUUCUCAUCAAGCACUAUUCUAGCCAAUCCCAAAAUCAAAACUUUAGUGGUAAAGUUGUCUUCUAACAAGGUACUGUUGGACUUAAAAUCUCAAUGCAUUACAUAAGGACUUGAGUCUUCAUGCAGAUAUAAUAAACCAUAAGUUGUACCAAGGGUAAUCUUCAUUCACACACCCCACCAAGCACGACUUCAUCUCUAGGUCUGUGAUCCAUGCAAGCUAUACAUCCAAGGGAAUGAAAUUCCCGAAUAGGAUAAAUCUCACUUCUAGUCAAGGAUGAAAAUAUCGGUAAUCACAGAUAUAUCGGUACUUCAAUUUUACGGAUAUAUCAGCGAAUAUUUUGAAAAAAAUUAUCGAUAGAUUUAAAAUUGAUCAAAAUUUAUAAAAAUACAAGAAAAACUUCACAAAAAUAUAAUUAGAAAUAUAAUAGAUAUUUUAAAGUUGUUUUAUUAAAGAAUUUGAUAUAUGUAUAAUAUGAUUUAUCAUAUUUGAUAAUAAUAACGUAUGCAUCGAUAAAAAUAUGAAUUUUAUAAGUGUACAUUUAUUAUUAAAUUAAAUAAAAUAUUAUUUCAUAAUAAUAUUAUGAUAUUUUAUUAUAAUAUGUCUAACUUAAAAAUAUAUAUUAAUAUUAAAAUUAUGAUUCAUUUAAUUCAAUUGUAUUAAAUGAUAUAAAAUAAAUUAUGAUAUAUGUACAAUUUUUUAAUAUUUAAUUAAUUUAUUAAUGAUAUUAAAAACACUAUGAAGAAAAUUAUUAUGAUAAUUUUUAUAUUUAAUUAUAAAAUAAUUAUAAUUAAUUUGCUCUCUAAAAUUUUCUUUACAUGAUGACUUUGAAUAUACAUUUUUAGUGCAAUACAUUUAACAAAUGGCAAGCUUGCCCUAGUGGUCUAAUGAGCGGGACCCAAACCUUUUGUUUAGGGUUCAAAUGCCCUCGAUGACAUAAAAAAUAGGCAUUUUUGAGAGGGCACUAUAGCGGGGAGCAUUGUAGCGCGUUGACCGGUCGAAAAAUCGCUGAAAUAUCGGCGAUUUUCUUUCUUCUAGCCUGUUUUUUUUUUUUUUUUCCAUUAAAUCAGCGAUUGAUCGCCUAAUGUUGAUAAAUCGGCGAUAUAUCAGAUAUUUUUUUCCAAUUUUCAGUGAUUUUUUGUCGAUUUUCAGUGAUUUUUCUCCACAAAAUAUUGUGUUGACGUCUCUUGAUACACGAUAUAUCGUAUCACUGAUAUAUCCCGACAUUUUCCUCUAUGCUUCUAGUAGAGUAAAAAAAAAAAUAUUUUCACUAAGCUCAGUCGGGUGCCCAAUUAGAUCUAUAUUAUGGACAGACCCAUGUGUUAAUUCUCGUUGCUGUUUUCAUAUUGGAAUGACUAGUUGAAUUGGGUUUUAGACUUAUUUCCCUUGGAACAUCUUCAUGGUGUUGUUUGGUGAGUGCCACUUGCUUUCCUUAAAAAAUAAAAAAAAUAAAUAAAUAAAAUCAUAUUCCAAAAGCUUGCCAACCUGGGACGUCCUAUACCCAGUUUUAUCCACUCCCAUAUAUAAAGGAUUUGAGCCAUGCAAUUCAUGAUCUUCGAUGCGCCAAACGAACCCACUAAACAUCUCCAAAAUGAUAACUGCCACACAUAGGAAGGAACCUAUGUUACUAUGUUUUCUUUCAUAGGGUUUGGUGUCAGUGGUAGUGGAGAAGCUGUUUAGAUUGGCUGGAGCUAAGGACCGAAACUAGGUGGUGCUGCCAGCUUGGAAGAAGCCUUUUGUGGCUACUUAAAUUCGAAUUCAAAUGUCUUGUAGUAUCAUGACAUGACCACGAUUGAACUUCCCAAACCCAGAGAGAGUUAAUUGAAAUUCCAACUCAUAAGAAGUUAAUAUAUUUGCAAUGUCAGGUGUAUCUGAUUCACUAGUUGAAGAAGCCAUAUUCUUAGCUAGUUUAGUAGGCCUAGGACUUUGUUUGGUACAGUGACAAAAUUUUUAUUAUCAUUAAUUCAGUCUCCAUGGCAACAACGAACUCCAAUCCAUGUUUCAAAACAUGGCCAUGCAUAACCAAACUGGCCCACAAUCGACUUUCUUCAACUGAGAGUCUUUCCGUCUUGAGCCUUUUACAUGAAUUUUUUUUGUUUAAAAGCUUGUCGAAUAGCACGCUGCUUGCCUAAAGUAUGGAAAAUCCCUUAUUUGAUAAAACCAAGUUGAGAACAACAACCAACUCAUCCAUUAAGAUCCUUUGCAUGUACUAGCCAUCACACGGUUUGGGCAAUUUCCUGUUUUUAAAGAAUAGAAAAGGGAAAAGUCGGGUCCACGCACCCGACCUCAUUUGCAACUCCUGAACCACAACACUCAGAAGGUCUCCAAUGCUCUAUGUGAAUGCAUCCAAGUUCCCAAAUUUUUUAUCUCAAUAAAAAAGAGUAUUCUACCACAUAUUUCUGAGACUAUAUACACUAAUGAGGCAUGGUGAACUACUUCCACAUUGCUCAUGCACCAUAAUGAAAUUGUGAGACCUCGGUAUCCGCCCAAGAAAACUAACCCAUCAAACAUCUUACCAUGGACUUCCCAGCUUAGUCUCGACCCAGUUGAAAUACUCAUCACCCCAAACACACCAAAAGAAACAUAGAAAUACAAAAUAGAGCAAAGACCAAAACAUGACAUAAAAAAAAUACAAACCAAGGACCAUUAAACCUCGCUCCAUCUCAUAGUUUGUCAAUGAGCUAGCAAACUGAUUGGGGAUGACCGAAAUAGACUCUAAAUAUAAAUAAUAAAAAACAUGGUGGCAGACAUCUCACAAAGAAACUAAAAUAAAGUGAAGAAAUAGAGCAUGAUUGCAGAUUCUAUAGAAACUAAAAAACCAAAAAAAAAAUGUGUAUGCAGAUGAUCUCAAAUAUGCAUGGUUUCCAAUGUCCACACUCAAACAUCAGGAACAAAUCCAAAUAUUAGCAAGAAACAAAGCAACAUGGUGCAAAAAUAGGAUAAUCAAGUAUGCAGCGACCGCACCUAAAUAACUCCACUCGAGUAAGGAUGGCUCAGCUUCAAACACUUGAUUCUGCAACUUUCCAAACUAAGCCCAAAUACCCGAUGAUCAAAACCCAUGCCUUUAUGUAUGAAAUGCAACAUGUAUAGAAAAGUUCGUGAGUCAUGGAAUUAAGAGUGCCCAAUGUGAAUAUAAUAUCAAUGAGGAGAUAAGUGAUAAUGAGAUGUGUAAAAAUGAUGCAAAGAGAAUAGCAAACUUGGAAUAGGUCAUUGUAAGAGAAGGAUAAGAGGGUGAAGUGAAGGGAAUGAAUCAAAAGCAAUGGUGAGGAUGAGAGUGAAACAAUGAACAUAUAAAAAGGAAUGAUGAUCAACUCAAAUCAAACAAGAAGUGAAGUCACAUCAACAAUGAAUGUAAUAAUAGAAAGGACAAUGACCCAGAGCCCUUAGGAGAAGGUCACUCAUCUCACUCUUUAGCAAAUGAUGUGAUGAAGUGAAUAUAAAGAAAAAAAAAAUCUCGGAAAACUCACAUACGAACUUUCACCAACAAAUAUUCUCGAUAAAGUGACCAUCGGAUAUCAAUAUACAUGCUCAAUGAUGGAGAAUACUAUGCACAUACACACAUGUGUUUACUUUUCUUUUCUUUUCUUUUCUUUUUCAAUUUUUUUUCAUCUUCAUUUUCAUUUUCUUUUACACAUACAAAUGCACAUACCCUGAACACAAACAAAUGAGCCCCAAAGAGAUAACAUCAAUAAUGGAUGGAUGUGUUCUCAAGUGCAAAAUUAACAUAAACUCUUUUUGACGAGAUGACCUUCUCAAACUAAGGAUCUUUGAAUCAGUGUUUGUGGGAUAGAUAGUGGGAAUAAUAUGACUAUCUUCCAUGUAAUGAACUGAGGAGGAUCACCACUCAGAGUGGAGAGAACAUGAAGCAAAACAAGUAGUAGAUAGAAUAAAUAAGAAGAGAUGAAGAACAUAACCAAUGAGAUAUGAUGAAAUGCAGUAGUAUGAUGGUAGGAAAAAUAAUGAGAGAAAGAUGCGCCUGUAAGCUCAAGGCUCAUGAAACUCCUAAAUGAGACAUGCAUACACUAAAGGGCCCCUAUCCUGGUGUAAAAGUAUAAGCAAUGCAAUAAGAAAGAAAAACUCUGAUACACAUGCAAGACUUAAAGGGCUAGAAACGGUCUAUAUGUAAAAAAUGGGGGGAAUAAGGUAUGUGGCUAAUCGAAAUGAUGGCCACCCAUCCUGCAACCACGGUCUCAAACAUAAUACCUUUUCAGUUGAUCUAUAUUUGUUGGCUCCGAGAAUCGGUUUUCAUCUAGAUCCAUCAAUCAUGCAGUGUCCUCUAGGGUCAACUCCCUAAUGAAAUAAGAUCCUCUCCAAUUAGGUUUGAACUUCCUUUUGGGAUCUCUGAUCAAUCCCUUAAUGACCUUUAAGAUCAAGUCAUCUUUCUGUAGCGGUCUAGGCUUGACCCGUUUCUUGAAAGCACAAGCCAUCUUCCUAUGAUAGGCAUGAACGUGGUUUGUUGUCCUCAAUAUUCUCUCAUCAUCUAGUAUCCUCUUGAGUGACAUCACUUUCUAAAGGUCUAGCAACUAUGGGAGGUUGUUGUUGUACUACCCUGCCUCUACGGAUGACAUAUUGAACAUCCUGAGUAAUCGUCUCAUUAGGAUCUCGACUCAAUAUAAAUGGAGACUGAAUGUUAUAGCAUGGGCGAAUCAAUGACCCAACCGUAGUCAACUGCACUGGUGGUGUGUCAGGAACCAAUCUAAAUGGUGUUGACGUCUGUGUGUCUGAGAUCACUCCAUCAACCUCAUAGCUCUCAUCCACUAUUAUAGGCUAUGACUUAGAAUCAUCCCAACUCAGCAAGUGAAUGCAAUCAUCAGGCUUAGUGAAAUCCAUGAAAUGUAUACCGCCGGCUGGAGGAGAGACUACAUGUGAAGUAUGAGUUGGCAAAGGGUUAGUGGUUACACUUGGCUUACCCAAGUGAACCAAACCUUGAUCUAUCAAGUCUUGGAUGGCGUGCCUCAAAGCAAUAUAACAAUCAGUCUCAUGCCCUGACCCUUGAUGAUAUGCACAGUGUAGAUCCAUCUUAAACUGUGGCAGAAUAGGCUGAGGCAAUGGCCUGGGAGCAAGAAGAUUCAAUAAUUCGACAUCUAUGAGCUUUCGAAGAGCCAGACUCAACGACAUAACCAACUAUGAAAAUUUUCUAGGUGUCCUUAAAGAAAACAGAGCAGACGUCUAUGGAGACCUAAGUCUAGGGUAUAAAGCUGGAGGUCUCUCUAUGAUCUGUGCUGCAUAGCAUGGUUGUGCUAGAGCAGGAUAUGAAAUUGGAAGUCUCUCUAUGCUUUAAGCGGCGUAACAAGACAGUGCUAGUGUGAGAGGCAAGUAAGCUUGAUGAUAUGGCUAAGAAGGUGCCCGUGGCCUAUACUGCUGAGGUGGAUAAGAAGGGUAAGUCCCAAUAGGCUAUGAAACUGGGUGUGACGCUUGGGAGGUCUCUGACUAGUAGAAGUGAUAGUGCCCACAUAUGAUCUCUGUUCUCCAAGUGGUUUAUUCCCCUUAGCAUCAAUAGAUGAAGAAUCAUACCAUAACCAUCUUGAAAUGCCAUUUUCCAUGUCAUACAGUGUUGAAACUAGAGAUCCAAAGUCUGUAAAAGGUAUUACGACCACAUGUCUAUCAAUCCUGGGCUAUAAACUCCUCAAAAUCAUUUGUAUCUGAUCUCUAUUUGAUGGUCUAUCAACAAUCUCUACUAUCUUUCCCCGUUAGCGGAAGAUAAAAGAAGAAAUUGAUUCAUUUGAUCUUUGUGUCAAAGCCUCUAGUUUUCUCCUCGACACAUCUACAACAGUGUUAAAUGAAAAUUGUCGUUGAAACUCUUGAGCUAGGUCAUCCCAUGUCCUACGUCGCGAUGACUCCAAAGAGGUGAACCAAUGUUGGGUUGCGCCACUCAGAGAUAAAGGAAACAUGGUGUUCAUAUGUGACUUGUCUAACCCAUGGACCCUCAUCACAAUAUUGUAGAGUCGAAGAUGAAUACGGGGACAACCAACGUCUGUGUACCUCUCAAUGUCAAGCAUCCUCAACUUGGCCGGUAGAUUGGCCAUUAGUAUACUAUCAAGAUUAUCCCAAACAACUGAACUGUUAGAUACUCUCAACUGCUUGAUAUGCUGCUUGAUACGAUCCAUGUGUGCGUGAGUAUUCUUAGGGACUAUGGUGUGCACUACUGUAGGUGGGAUGACCUCGGACUGGCCGUGUAAUAGGUAAGGUGAGGUUUGUGGUCCAUCUGAUCAAGUGGUGGUGGUAGUGAAGGCGACAACGAAUCAUCAGGCACCUCAUCCUGAGUUAUAGGUUGUUUACUCUGCUGACUACCCAUCUCAUGUUUGAGAUUAGUUAAGGCCUUCUGAAUGGAAGCUAUGGCGGUUGUGAACUGGUCAACUGUGACGGACUGCUGAUCCAUGUCUGAUCUCACGGGAGUGCGAACCAAUCUACCCUCUACUUUGACCCAAGAUGGUAAAUCCAUACUGAGAAUGAAGAACCAAUCCUACAAAGCAUGAAACAUGAGAUAAGGUAUGGUACAGGGAAGACACUGAAGAAAUGCUAAUCUGAAUUGGAAAAAACAAGUUAACACAAAGCGGCAGGGUGGUCCAAUUGUACCUCAAACUCAUACUGAUCUCUAAACACUCUCAACUGGAGACCAAAUGAGGAAGUACUAGAUUCGAACUGUAACUAAAGAGGCUCUAAAGCUCUCAGAUGUACCCACAUGUAGGAAAGGAAAUCAUGAUCGAAUGAUCUAAAACUCAACCUACAAGGUCAGGGUGGCUCUAAAAAGAAGAGGGGUGGACUUUAAAGGAUCCCUAGCAGAAGCGAUCAUACCCUCUAACGAUACGCAACCCUUUACAUGCCUCUAAAGAGAUGUGAUGCUUCCAUGCAAAGUGGUCAUCACCUCCACACAUGCACUACCUCGACAUCCCAGGAGGUUUCCUAUAGUGAAGGCUCUCGCAACUCUCAACACUUAAUAGUCAACUAAAGUGCACAAUGAGCGAUGUGGGUGCAUCCGAAAAACCUAUGAAGCUAAAGUAGAAAAUGAAACACACUGGUCACACAAAUAUCCAUGAAACCUAGCUCUGGGCUAUACAACUCUUCAAAAAUCAGACUCCAAUCAGCAUCAAUGUGUCGACCUCCUCUAGAAUGCUCUCAAACAUUGCUACAACCCAUCGCUAAACCCUACUCCUAACCACUAGCUGGGUUAGAGGAACAAGUACACACAAGGCCUCACACUUGCGAAUGUAAGAACUGAAAUGAAGGAAAUAACCAAAACCAAAAGGUUGGAGGUAAGAGAAUAGAUGUGCAACCCACAAAAACAAGCAACAUGCAAACACACAGGAGAAGAACAGUUAUGCAACAAGCAGUCAAGCAGAGCGCAAGUAUAUCAUCCAUGUCCACACAUAAGCCAAACUAGAACAUGACAAUCAAGAUGAAUGCAACAAGAAUAACAUGCUCAAAGAUGAUCAAGAUAAUAUACAAGCAAAUGAGUCAAUCACUAAGACAACAAGAUAUACAACAAUGUGAACAUACAUGUCAAAGUGAGCAGGAUAAUCAUAGCAAAAACAAAAUCAAUAUGCUAAGAUAAUAAAGAGAAUCAAUCAAUAUCAUCAACAUGUCAAUGUCCCAAAUGGAUAUAGAAAUCAAUCAGAGGAAAUCAUCACAUCAAACUCUCAAUGUGCUAUGAACACUCAAGCAUAGAAGAGUAUAAGGAGAAGGUAUACAUCAACUGACUAAUCAAAUGCCACAUUUGCCUCAAAUUGAGUUCAAGCUUGACCCUCAUAGAUGUCAUCCCCAGCAGAGUCACCAUUUUGUGGGAACGCAUAAAGCGAAAUGCGGGGUCCACACCUGUAUAUAUGUUAAAAGUUGCUCCAUUGAACUAAAUUACUGGCUCCGCCACUGGAUUAUGUCAUAUUUGGUUGGUUAGAUAUAAUAUGAAAUAAGAUAAAAGAUGAGAUAAUAUAUCAUAUUUCAUAUUUGGUUGGUAAUAAAAUAAGAUCAGUUAUCCCAUUAUUUAUCUUAUUGUAUAUUCAAUUAAAUAUGAAAUAAGAUAAAUAGUUAAAUAUAUUAUUCAUUUUCUUUUUAAUAUCAUUUAUACAUGGAAUAUGUUAAUCACAAGUCAAAGAAAUAUGAUAUACUUAUAUCAUAUAUCAUAAAUUUAUUUAUUUAUAUUAGUUUUUAAAAUAAAAAAUUUUGAUUAUAAAAAUUAAAUUUAUGGUUAAAAAAACUAAAAAAAAUACUUAUAAAAUAUAUUGUAAAAUAAUACAAAUAUAAGAUAUAAAUACUUUAAUGAACCUGUCAUGUUGCAUAAUUUUUAUGUAUUAAAUAUUUUGAGGGAUAUUAAUAUGGAUAUUAUUUAUUUAUAAUGUAAUAUAAUAUUUAUUUUCGAAAUUCUUAUGUAUAGGAAUGAUUAAACAAAAUUUUAGGUAUCAUAGGUAUAUAAUGUGUUAUUUUUAUUAUCAAUUUACAAACUUCUUCUCUUGAAUUAUGGUUUCAAUGGGUGCUUUCAAGAUAUACCUUACUCUUAAAAUCUUCCAUGUUAUCCUACACUUGGCAAUACAUUAAAAUCUUCCAUGUCAUCCUACACUUGGCCAUACCUUGCGCGCAUGAUACAAAUGGAAGAAGAUUGAUCCUAAUAUAUAUUAUUUUGGCUCUAUUCGAUGCAAAGAAACUAUGAUUGAGGUAUAUUGAGAUGAAAUGCAAGUUUUGAAAUAAGAAGCCAUCAAACACACUCCUUAAGACUUAAAUAAUAUUAGUUGGUGUUUGUUUUUUUCCACUUAAUUCUAAAUAUAACUUAAAAUUAAACGAUAUUUAAUUGUUAAGUAUUAUGUUAUUUGUUUUUUUAAUGUUUUAUUUUUGUUAAGUAUUAAAAGUAAAGAAAAACCAAUAUAUUAUUUUUUUCAUUUAUAAAAAAUUAAAUAUUUUGAUUUUUUUUAUUUAGCAAAAAAUUUAUAAUAAGUCGUGAAAUAGUAAAAAAACAAAUAACCUAAAUUUUGAAAGUAAAUUAUUUUCAGCAUAACGCAAAAAAAAAAAACAUUAAAAAAUGAUUUUAAUUUUUUUUAAAAUUUUUUUAUGGGGUAGACAUCGUCUUCCGGUUAUUGAUAUUAUGUAAUUCGUGAACUUCUUUUAAUCAAGUAUGACUUAAAGCCAUGAAGUUUUAGACCUAGAAUAGAUGAUAUCCACUCAAAAGGGAAAAAAAAUAAAAAAAUCCUUAUAACCUUUUUUUUGAAUGAUGUUAAUUUGCUAUUUUCCUUUACCAUAUAAUCUUACAAGUUAUACCUUAAAAUAAUGAUCGAAUUUACAAUUUUGAUGUCCAAUUUUCAAAUAAACAUAUUCAGGAUGUUAAAAAAUCGAGACUCAUAAUAAAGACUAUUUCUAACAUGUAAAUAUGUCAAAAUGGUGACUUUUAAUUGUAUAGACAAAUUUUAAAAUAAUAAAAAUUAUGAAUGAUAAUAGGGUAAGAGUCGCUUAUGUCCUGACCCACGCAUAUCAUUUAAACUUAUUUUUAUUCCCGACUUAUAUUAUUUAAACCUAUUAUUAUUUUGUAAAAAAAAAACAAAAUGAACUUUCAUUACAUUUAAAAUAAAUAAUUAUAUACAAUUGGAAAAUUAUAGAAUACAAUACCCAAAUUCGCCCCAAACCCGAUGCAAGAUUUUUUAAAAGAAAUCUCAAUCCCUCAUCAUACCCAACUCAUCAUGUACUCCAAAAGAAAUGUCCCUUGUCAUCCUAGUAAAUAUCGGUGGAAACAUACACAAAAGGCCGUAAAAGAAGCCUUUAUAAGAUGUAUGUUGUGUCAUUUGGAAAAUCACCAAGGGUAUUUUUGGUAUUUCGUGUCACAAAAUAGUUGUUAUCUCCAACUUGGACCCUGUGACCAGUGGUGCAUCAUGUGACCACGAAGUAGCUGCGUAAUGCGCCAUCCACCUGGUCGGUCCAGCUAUGAUUCCAUGUUUGCCACUCCACCCUAAUACCAUGCAACAUCACGUAAUCACCUCAUCAUAACCACUCAUCCAGUCUCAUCAUUGCGAAUCAUUUCAGCUUCGGCUUAAACCCCAUGAGCCCCACCCUCAACUAUUGAUUACCAUCCCGACCAGGAUAUCGAUUCAUCAUAAUCAGGCUUUUCAGGUUUAGGUGUGAUGGCAAAUCUCGGCCGUUGAAAGCAUCAUAUAAGGGGUGGUGCGGUGUGAGUGUGGAACACUCUACUCUGUUUUCUCCACCUAUUCUCAUUUCACCUUUAAAGGGCUUUGAAGGCAAUUAUUCAAAAGCAACUACCCCCACUCUACAUCACAUAUACAUAUUUUUCUUUUUCUUUUUCUUUUUCUUUUUGAUAUAAUUUUUAUAUAAAUAAUAAAUAAAUAGAUGAAAAAUAUUUUUUAUGAGAUUUUUAAGUGGUUUUUAUUUUUUGAAAAAAUUAUAUAUAUACACAUAUUUUAUAUAAAUUUUGACACCAAUUAAAUUGUCAUAAUAAUAAUUAAAACUUUUUUUAAAUCUUUAUUUUUCAUAGAAUUUAUACUAUUUUAAUAUUGUAUUAAUAUAUUAUGUGUAAAACUUUGAUUGAAAAUGUUUUUUAAAAUUUAUUUUUAAAAAUUGUUUAUAGAAAACAAUGGCUAAAGAAUUUUAUAAAAUUUUAAAAACAGGAAACUAUUUUCAAAUCACACGACCAAACACAUUCAUGUAUUUUUGGAAUAAUGGUUCUCAAUUAGAAGAUUUACUUCAAAUAAUAUUACACCAUUAAAUUAUAUUUUAUUGUCAUUUUUAACUUGAUGACAAGAUAAAAUAAUUAUUUAAUUAAUGGGUAUUACCAUAUAAAUAAAAUAAAAACAUAUUUAAAACAUUAUAACUAAAAUUCCUUUCUUUUUUUUUUUGUUUUCUUUAGUUGCAACUUUACAAAUAUUUUCAAUAAUUGCAUGAUUUUCAAUUUCUUUUGUAUUUUAAUAUCACAAAAUUUUGUUUGUGGAUUGUUUCUUGUCCAUCCAAACUCAAAUAUCAAAUAUUAUUUUUUUUAGUUAUUUAUAGUAAAUAUACCAUACACUCAUAUACACUUCAAAAAAUUUUAAAAUAUUUUUAAUUAUUAUUGAGCAUAUCAUAAAUAAUUUUAGUAACAAAUAUUAAAAAAAGUUAUUAAUUUUGUUUUAAAUAAAAAAUAAUAAUUUUUAAAAAAUGUUUUUACUUAUAGGUGUUAUCAUAUUUAUAUGAUAUUUUACAUCGAAGAUGAGAGAAAAUUUUUGACGUUAUAUAAAUAUAAAUUUAUCUUAACAUUAUAGAUGUGAUUUAUCUUGAUCUUAUAGAUGUAUUUUAAAGUUGUAAAAGCCUUCGAGUUAAUAGCAAGUUGUGUAGUUUCUAUGCUUGAUUGGUAUUCAAAUCGGGAAACUUUUAGAUUUUUAUAUACUAAGUUAUAAAUUUAUAUUAAAAAUAAAAGUAGUUAAUUACUAAAUUGAGAAAAAUUACUAUAAUAAAAAAACGAUAAAUAGGUAAGAAUUGCACCACCCUUUCCUAUUUGGUUUUUUAUUCCACCUUUUUCUUUCUUAUUUUGAUUCCACCAUCUCUCUCUCUCUCUCUCUCUCUCUCUCUCUCUCCUUUCUUAGACUCCACUUUUCCAUUCCUAUUCCCAUUCCAAUUCCAAUCCUUCUUUCUCUUACUAAAACCACACUCGCUUUUGCUUUUUUUUUUCUAUUUUUCCCUGGGAAAUCAGGAGAAAACCGUUCAACAGGCGAUUCUUUGAUUCUCUCUCUUCAAUCUCUCCGCACAAUUCUUAGAUUCCAAACACUUCCUGAAUUUGUUGUCCUCUGCCCUAAUUCGAGCAAUUUCCCUCGCUUUCCCGCCAGCCAAACACGCGUCUUUGAUCCAAUUGUGGUAGGGUUUUUGUGGUUUGGGGUCUGGAAGGAUGGACUCCGAGGACGAUAUGCACGAUGCUAACGAUGUCGACUCUUUGGAGGACUUCUACAGCGGCGACACCGCGGCCGACUCCGACGACGACAACGACGCCGAUUACGACUUCGACAACGAUUCCGAUGACGACGCCGACGCCAUCAUGUUGCAUCGCCAUCAGGUCUGGUCGAUUCCGGAUUGAAGCUGUGGGCUUUGUUUUUUUUAUUCAUGUUUGGCCCUGGAAGAAAAAGUUGUCGGCUUUUCCCGGAAAGCUGAGUUCUUUUUCUUUGUUUACCUUUUUGUUUAGUCGCAUGCUGAUUUCUUGAUUUAACCUUUUGCCGUAUCGGUGCUCCGUCAGCUGCGUUUGUGCAAAUUUUUGUGUGGGUAUUUGGCUAAUUGAUUUUGGAUUUUUUUAUUUUAUGAUUACUUCAAGAGUUUAUAGCUGUUUAGGCUAUUUUUCUGAACUAGAAAUGAUGUCCUGUUUCUUUAUCUGCUGUUUGGUUGCUGAGAAAACUUGAGAAAAGAGAAGAAAGAGAUAAUUCUUGAAUGGGAUUUUUGUACCAUGCUGGUUUAGGCUCAGGAAGGUCUUUAUUUAAAUUAUCUCUGCAUGUUUGCCAAGAAAACAAAGGAACUAUAAAACUCGGAAAGGAAUAAUUUAAGUGCUUGGGAUUGUUAAAGGGGCUGCAGAUGCUGAUUCUUUUAAGUUUUGUCUACGGGAACUUUUUGUGGGUUUGAAUAAUGUUGCAACAUUGGGCGAUUGCUGUUUAAAUUUCUUACUAUAAUGGUUAACCUAUCUGAUCAAGUUAAUCUAUAUAACUUUUCCUUCUAAGUUUUACCAAUGUUGUUUUGGAUUUCAGCCUAAUUAUACCAUCUUAAAGGAAGAAGAUAUACAUCAGCAUCAGGAAGAUGAUAUUGCAAGAGUAGCUGCUGUUCUUUCAAUAGCAAGUGUUUCAGCGAGCAUCCUGCUCCGCCACUACCAUUGGUAAACUUUUUGCUCAAUGGUGCUUGUCACAUUUAGUUGAUAUCAAGGUGCAGAUAUCCUUUUUUCUCAUUUCAGUGUUUUUAUGCUUGAUUGCGCAAUCUCAUUUUUAUAUGCAAGUUCAUUUGGACUGAUGUCUAGAAUACCUGUGCACUUUACAUGUAAGGUUAGCUAUGAAUUGUAGUUGUAGCAAUAUUUUUCUUGCUACAUUCUUGUUGAGGCUGUAGUGCCAUUUCUUCUGGCAUUUUAUCCUUCUAAAAGAGAGUUGGCCUUGCAGGAGUGUUAGUAAAGUCAAUGAUGAAUGGUUUGCUGAUGAAAGUAGAGUCCGGAAAGCUGUUGGCUUAUUGGAAGAACCACUUGUUCGAUAUCCCAAUGCUAAAGAAGUAAGCUUUCGUUCAUUUCAGAAAGUAAUUUGAGUUUUGCUGAACCAGUGGUUCAUUUUGUGGCUCUAAUAUAAUUUGUCUACAUGGUUGAAAAUAAUGAGUUUCUGGAAUUCUUUUGUCUAAAUUUUGGAGUUUGGAGCCGAUUUUUAUAUCUUGUUUUCUUUUUUGGAUUCUUGUCUCCUUGAGUUAGUAAUGGAACUCUUGAAAUGUUCUGUUGACAGCUGACUUGUGGGAUCUGUUUUGAAACCUAUCCUCGUGAUAUGAUACAAUCAGCUGCUUGUGGUCAUCCAUUUUGUAGCACAUGCUGGGAAGGUUUGCGAAUAUACUCUAUACUUUAGAAUCUUAUUUUGUGGCUGGUAUAUAAAUUAAGUAUCCUGUUCUGAUUGUUUAUAUGUACCACUUCAUUUAGUGAUUUUUAAACUGCUGGUUGUGGGUGUGUUGGACAUUUCAUUUGGGAUAAAUUUCUUGUUCUGAUUGUUUGUAUGUACAACUUCAUAUAUAUUAACAUAUGUUUUUGAUCUACAGUAAAAAUUUGUGCUAUGUAUUUAGAAAUACACUAAAUAGGUGUGUAUUGUUAGUACAUGGGAACUAUAAAAGAGAGACUUAAGAGAAACAAGAACAAAAACCAACAUUGAGUCUUCACCAAAUCUUCCUUCUUUGCUUCCUCGACAGUCACAAUAUUCUGAAGAAUAUAAUUUUUCUUAGCUUCCUAUCUGUCUCUGAAUUUGAAUCCAUUCUUCUCUUGAUGCACCCCAUAUCUUGUUGUCUCCACCUGCAUUCUCAAAUUGUUUUAUGGAUUUGCCUUUGAAACCUCCUAGGAAACCCACAGCAGCUUACAAAGGUCCAUCUCUGCUUUUAACCCAUUUAGAGACUCUCCUGAUCCAACUCAACAGCACUUCUGGAGUUCUCAUGAGCCAUUCAUCAUCCAUGGCAACCUGAAGAGGAUCCUUCCAAAAAUGAAUUUCACCCCUCAGCAAAUCCUUGAAGAGUAGCUCUCAAGGGACGCUCAUCAUCCAUGACAACCUGAAUAGAUCAAAUCCUUGUUUUACCUAAUCCAUCCAUUGCACAGCUUCCUGUUUUGCUGUGAAUUGUCUUUUCACCAUUCCCAUAAUACCUUAAAGGGCUACACAGCAAGACUCAAAUUCAAUAUACAAAGCGGUGCCAUGCCAACCCUUCCCUUCCUUCCUCCACCUGAAAUUUCUCUCCUCAAGCCCUGUAAAUUCAAAAUUUACAGCUUGAUGUGGACCCCACUGAAACAGAAUGCCUCUCCUCAUUGUUGUUUGAUAAGUAAUCAAAAUUUUUCCUACUACUAUGGCACAUUAUCAUUCUAGUAGUAUUUGCCUUGCACAACCAGUAUCUCAUGCAUGCAUGUGUCCCAGAAACUUGUCUCUAGUAGAUAAUGACUUACUAAGAUAUUUUAAAGGGACAACCCUGGUAUUAUAAAAGUCUCAUUAAACCACAAUUUUCUGUAUGAGCUUUAAAAGACAAUUUUCUGCAUGAGCUUUAAAAAAAAAAAAAAAAUGCUUCUACAAGAAGCAACAUUCUUUUGCUUCCAUGUUAAGCUUGUUUUGAAGUCAAAGGCAGUUCAAUUAAAAUUACCAAAGGUCCCAAACAAAGGAACUCACUUUUGUUGGGCUUGAUAAAGAGCUUUUGGCUUCUAAGAAGCCAACCCAAAUGUGUUAAUGUCUUGUCUUAUAUUUUCAUCUGUUUUUAUUUGUUUAGGUUAUAUUAGCACAUCAAUCAAUGAUGGUCCUGGUUGUUUGAUGUUAAGAUGCCCUGAUCCAUCUUGCCGAGCUGCUGUGGGCCAAGACAUGAUCAAUCUCUUGGCAUCUGAUGAAGACAACGAGAAGUAUUCUCGUUACCUUCUUAGAUCAUAUAUCGAAGACAAUAGGAAGGUAUAUCUGAGACUUGGAACUCUUCCAAUUUUAACAUUUAGCAUAUGCAAUGGCUCAUCAAUCUCAAUCUUUAUUUUUACUUUUUUUCCCCUUAAAGUUUUCUAUGAAAAUUCACUGUUGCUUGACUAUCUAACUGUUUAUUUUUAUUUUAGAGUAUUUUCCAGGCAUAAGCCAGUAGACUUACCCUUUCAAUGUUCAAAUUUCAAAUAGUAAUUUGUUCAGGUUCUGAGCAUGUGAUUGAUUAAGGCUUAUGAGUUGCAUACGUUUUGCACCACCAAAGCAUGCCAUUUUUCUCUUCUACUGAUGGGUGCUUGUAAACUUUUAGAGGACAUCUUUUAUGAGUGAUUUGUAAUUUUGUAUGGACUACUUAGAGUUUAGUAUUAUUAUUUUCUGCCAUAGAGUGGGUCUCUUCAAUUGUCUGCAUUUAUCAAGAUAUUAAACUUGACCUGGGCUUAUACCCCAAUUCUUCUUCUUCAAUUUUUGUGCCCCUUUACUCUCGAGGUUGAUGUUUUUUGCAUCAUUUUAAAUGCAUUUUUCACCUGUUUCUAGCAUUAUAGGGAUGAACAUUUGGAGGGGAGAAAUGAAAAUAUAUUAUUUUGUUCACUGCUUUGCUAUUUCUCAUUUCUUUUAUUAUUUCUGUUCUUCCCUAGACCAAAUGGUGUCCUGCCCCAGGUUGUGAGUAUGCUGUGGAGUUCGUUGCUGGUAGUGGGAGCUAUGAUGUAGCCUGCCAGUGCUCAUACGGAUUUUGUUGGAAUGUAUGUUUGUUUUGAAAUUGAAGUUGUUUGAAAAUUUCGUAUGUACAAUUUCUAAUUUUUGUUGUAUGCCAUAUCCACAAUCUUGUCUUUUUAAUCAUGUUUUGAAUCUCUACUGCAGUGUACAGAGGAAGCUCAUCGUCCAGUGGACUGUAGCACUGUGGCCAAGUGGAUUUUGAAGAACAGCGCUGAAUCUGAAAACAUGAAUUGGUUAAGCACAUGUUGCAGCAUUUAAAGUCAUUCAUGCUUGUGGAUAUUCUUUCAUGACUUCUAUUUGUGGAUAUUCAUUAUUUCUAUUCUGUUAAUGCAUAUAGUCAUCCUGCCAAUUCUCUGUUGAAUUCUAAUUAGAAUAUCCUAUUAGCCAUGGUUUAUAAGUGUUGAUAUUUACAAAGUCAAUUUCUGCUCUAUUUUAUUUUAUUUUUGUGCAUGUUGUGGGGAAGCAGUGGGGAUUUAUUACAUCUAUUGGGUUAUGAUUUUUUAUUGCCUGAUGGGAAGCCCUCCUAUUUGAAUGUUCGAAUUUUUUGUGAGGCAUAUGAGGGCUAGAUGACUUUUUUAUGCUAGUUGUUUAUGCGGUUUGAGGCUAUCUCAGGGUUGAGAGUUAACAUGUAUAAAAGUGAGUUGGUCCCAGUGGGAAGUGUGGAGGAUUUGGCUUUAGAGCUUGGUUGUAAGGUGGCAAGAUUACCUUCCACUUAUUUGGGGAUGUCGUUGGGUACUCCUUCAAGUCUGUGGCAGCUUGGGAUGGAGUUGAGGAGAGAUUUUGUAAGAGAUUGGCUACGUGGAAGCAGACUUUAUAUCACUAAGGGUGGGCAAAUCACCUUGAUACGAAGCACCUUGUCCAACCUAUCUAUUUAUUUUAUGUCUAUUCUCCACUUGUUAAGGGUGGUUAGAUUGAGGUUGGAGCAGAUUUAGAGGGAUUUUCUGUGGAGAGGUGGGGCUCUAGAGCGAAAACCUCAUUUAGUAAGGUGGGGCGAUAGUUUGUCUUGAUAAGAGAAAAAGGGGUUUGGGGGUUAAGAGCCUUUCUACGCUCAACAAGGCUCUCCUUUGCAAAUGGAGGUGGCGCUUUGCGAAUGAGAGAGAGGCCUUUUGGAAUCAAGUAAUAAAGGGAAAGUAUGGGGAGGAACAAGGUGGAUGUUGUUCUCGCAAUGUAAGAGAGAGGUAUGGUGUAGGGUAGUGGAAAGCAAUUAGGAAGGUUAGACCUGUCAUUAGCAGUAGGCUUUCCUUUGUGGUGGGUAAUGGACGGAUGGUGAGUUUUUGGAAGGAUAAGUGGUGUGGGACUACACCUUUGUGUGAUUCUUUCCCCUCUUUAUUUACCUUAACUACUUCUAAAGAGGCUUGGGUGAAAGAUGUUUAGACCAUUUCAAAAGUUGGGGGAGUUGGAGUCCUCGCUUCUCUAGGCCUUUCAAUGAUUGGGAGUUGGAUGAAGUAGAGAGCCUUUUGUUAUGCCUGUGUGGGAAGAGAGUGAAUUUGGAUGAGGAGGAUAGGGUGCGGUGGAUGGAAAUGAAGAAUGACAAUUUUUUGGUAAAGUCUCUUUGCAAAGCCUGAGAGUCGGACUUAUCAGUUUAUUUCCCAAUGAAGAUCAUUUGGAACUCUUUAUGUGCAAUCAAAAGUAAACUUCUUUGCUUGGGAGACAUCAUGGGGUAAAACUUUAACUUUGGACCAAAUUUAGAAGAGGGGAUGGGCUCUAGCAAAUAGAUGUUAUUUUUGUCAGUGAAUGAGGAAUCCAUAGACCGUGUACUCCAUUGUGAAAAGACAAGGGCUUUGUAGAAGAUGUUUUUCACUCUUUUUGGAGUGUCUUAGGUGUUUCCUUCCUCGGUUAGGGAAAUCCUCUUGGGAUGGAAUGAGUCUUUUAUGGGUAAAAAGCACAAGACAAUUUGGAGAGCGGGCCCUUUAUGCAUUUUUUGGACAAUUUGAAAGACAAAGAAUAGAAUCGCCUUUGAAGAUGAUGUGCUGUCCAUCCAAAGGCUGAAAGCUUCUUUUGUUUACUUGCUUUAGUCGUAGACUAAAAUGUUUAUAAAAAAUGAUCCUUUGACGUUAAUUGAUUGGGUGGGUUCCCGUUGAGGGCGGGGUUGUUUUUUGUACAUCCUUUUGGACAGUCUUUAGUUUCAACUGUAAGGGGGUGAGUGUUUUUUUCCUGUACAUCUUGGGCUGCUAUUUUAGCGCCUCUUCGUAAUACAAUACUUUUUUUUACUUAUCAAAAAAUGUUUUGAGUUUUUUCCCUACAUAAUGUUUUACUUUGGUUCCUUGUUUGUGUAGCAGAAUGGAGUUUGGCACUAAUUCCCAUUGCUAGGUUAUGUAUGAAGAAAUCACCUUAGUGAAAAUUUGAAAGGUCUAGAAUUUGGUUAAAUUUUAAUUUUCUUCUUGGUAACAAUGAUUGAAUUGUCUGCUAGGACCAACAGGAGGUUGGGUGGGAUUGUGGGAGGCACCAGGUUCGAGAGGACUACCAUGCAGUAAGAAUUGUGGCUUGCCUUUGGAAAUUAAUGCCUUUGGAAAUGUGAUCCCUAACUUGAUUUAAGGAAACCAAAGAUUUUUUUUUCCUUUAUGCAUGUGAAUAUUAUUCUGGAACAAGUGAUUGUUUGCUAUUAUGAUGCUCUUUUUAAGGUGGUGGCAGGUGGGAGGAGCAUUAUGACACAUUAUUGCCUUUUAAAUCUUACCAACAUGGCAUUUCUGGUUCUUAAUAGGGACGUUCUUUGGGACCUCAAUACUCUAUGGAUCCUGAGCUGGCCUGUUGGAAAAAAUGUGCAUAAUACAUGAAAAAUAAGAUGCAUGCUUACUGGGCCUAAGAGUAUAUGUUAAUGAUUGUCCUUUGUUCUUCUGCAUCACUAUUCUUCUUUCCGUGUUUAUAGUCAACUGAAAAUGCCAUCAGCAGUUCAAAUUGUUAAAUUAUUAUUUUUUUUUCUUAUACCCAUCUUUUUAGAUCAGGUUUUUUCCUUUUUCUUUCUUCUUCUUCUUCUUCUUCUUUUUUUUUUUCCUAAUGCUUUGCAAACUGCUUUGUUUAUUGCACUUCUUUAAUAAAUUAUGAUAAAACAUAUUUAAUCCCACUCUCAAGAUGCAAAUAACCUUUCGUUUCUUUAUCCUGUUUAUAUUCAUUAGUUGUGUUAAUAUAUAGUGAAUUCUUUUAUAGUGUAUAAGAAUGCUUUACAUUUUUUUUUUUCAUGCAAUUCUGAUUGUGUAUACUACAAAUGAUGAUGCCCAGGAUACUAGCUAAUUCGAAGCCUUGUCCGAAGUGUAAGCGUCCAAUUGAAAAAAACCAAGGGUGUAUGCAUAUUACAUGCACACCACCCUGCAAAUUUGAAUUUUGCUGGUAAGUUUUGUUACUUAUAUCUGAACCAGAAAUUACCUGUACCUUCAUAAUUCUUGCUCUUAAUUCCAUGAUGAGUAUCUUUUAUAAGCAUUGUUAUCAAGAAAAUUGUAUUUUUUCAGAAAACCUUGAGCAGAAGAUGAUAUUUGUUGCACUAAGCAAUAAUAGUUCUUCUUUCUUCUUAAUUCUUUAUUGAGGCAUUUCUCUUUAUUUUUGUUAUUACAACUGCAGGCUAUGCCUUGGUGCAUGGUCAGAUCAUGGUGAGAGGACGGGUGGCUUUUACGCAUGUAAUCGAUAUGAAGCAGCAAAGCAAGAGGGAGUGGUAAUGAAACUCAAAAAUAUUUUUGGGCUCUUGAAACAAUAUUUUGCUUACUAUAGAACCUUUUGUGCUAUCAUCUUGGUUCUACGUUUGCUUUUUGUUGAAAAUCAACUUAGAAAAAGCACUUCAUUGCAGACCAGUAUGUGUGUUGGCCAUCUCAAUGGGCAUGCAUCUUCAGCUGAGUAUAGGAUUGUAGACUGGACUUUGUCUUAUCUAGAUUUCCUUGUAGGGGGGAGCCCUGGAGUGAUCCAGUUUUAGAUUAGUAUCUCCAGGUGCUUGGGUGGUUGGAAGGUUUCUUCAUCCCUUGUGGGUAGAGUCACCCUCAUUAAGUCCUGCUUAGCUCAUAUCCUAACUUGCAAUUUCUUUUUUAAUCUUUAAGAUCCAUGUUAAGGGUGCACUAGAAUCAAGCAUGCGAUGUGAUAUUCUUUGGUUGAAUGUGAAAGGAGAAAGAAUGAUCACCUAAUAGCACAGAACAUAUUUUCAAAUCAAGAGUGAAGGGGGGAACUGUGUAUCAUCUCUCUAUUAGCAAUGUAGCUUUUCUAGGUAAGUGAUUAAUGAAGUUCCUUGAGAGAGUGGCUUCUUGUGGCAUUUGUUAUUGAAAAAUCUAUAGCCUUAGUUUUGAGGGAUGAAAAGCUCAACUUGGUGAUCAGGUGGCAACACUCUGAUAGGGAACUAAGCUUUUUUUGAUGGCUGUGCACUGAAAGGAACCAGUGCAGAUAGGGGUUGACAGUGUCUUGAGAGAUCAUUGUGGUACUGUUGUCGGAGCUUUUUCCAAAACGGGUAGUUCAGGGUUAGCCAUUGGCACUGAAAUUUUAGCUUAGAAGGGCCGAUGGUGUGACUAUUUUAGGCACUAAAAAUCUGCUAGUAGAAGGGAAAAUCAGUUACUGUCCUCUUAUGGGUUUCUGAGGACAUGUGAAGUCCUUGAAGGCUGGGCAAUUAGUGUCAAAAGUUGCGAUUUAUUUUUUAUUUUUUUCUGGGGCUCCUAGAUUCUAGAAUGGCCAACUAGGUAGCAGACCAACUAGUGAAGUAUGGAGCCUCAUGUUUAGAGAUCUUUGUUUGGGGGUGUAUACCUCCCUGAGCUGCAUUCUAUUCUAAAGUCUUUGGUUGGGAUCUUUAUGGGUUUCAGCUUAGAUGUAAUUCUUUUGCUUACUACUGCACUCUUUUUUUCUUUUGACUUAAAGAUAGCGCAUUCCUCUUGUAUUCAUUAUCUUUAUCAAUGAAUUUCUGUUUUGUCUCAGAAAAUUAACGAGAUUUUUAACUUCUGCCUGUAGUAUGAUGAAACUGAGAGAAGACGGGAGAUGGCGAAAAAUUCUUUAGAACGAUACACUCAUUAUUAUGAACGGUGGGCGACCAACCAAUCGGUAUGUACUAGCUUUUUAUUGUCUGUUUCUUUGCUAUAAUAUCACAACUUGGGUUCUAGGUUUUUUUCCUGUAUUUUUUGGGAACUAGCUUGGGUUUUGCAAAUUAAUAUUGUUUAGAAUUAUGAUGAUUCCAUUGGAGGUUAAAUCCUCUCUUGGGGAUUCAUAUUGACAUGUACACAUCCAUUAAUUUGAAUGUGGUUAAAUGUUAUAUCUGAAUGUAAUCUGAAAUCUUUGUUUUCCUAUUUGGCAGUCAAGGCAAAAAGCUCUUGCAGAUUUACAUCAAAUGCAAAACGUGAAUGUAAGUUUAAUGGCUUUUCUAUAUUUUCCCUUCUUGUCUUUAUGGUAUAAGUGGCCCGCCCAUCAAAUGUACAUAACAUCUAUUGUGUUCUAUCAGCUUCACAUUUUCCUUGUUUUAUUAAGGAAUUUCUUGAAAGUUGAAACUUCAUGUACACUGAACUAAUUUUUAACCAAGCAUGCCAUAUGUGGGAUUUCUUUUGUAAUUUAUAUUUUAAACUUGGAAGUGAUUGAAAUCUCUUAAGAUUACAAAAAUAAGUCUACUUCAUUGAUGAAUAAUGCCUACCAACUCUCUAUCGAGAUUACAAAAAAUAAAUCUACCUCAUCAGUUUAUAGCAGUCUUUUGACAAAAGAUUUUUUAAACAUUCAGUUGGUAAUUUGAUCACCAUUGUUUAAGCACUGCUGCCUCAGAAAAAGGUUCUUUUCAAAAUGCUAACUGUACUGCUGUAAUCUUGAAAUUUUCUGAGAAGAAAGCAAUUGGGAAUCUGGGUGAUAAUGUUGUUUGAGGACACCCUUCUCUGGUUAACGUUAAUUAUGGACAUGUUCCAAUGGAUACAAACUGUCUAGAGAUUCACUCUUGAUAACUCUGCACACAAGCGCAUGCACACACACAAAUAUGUGUAUGUAUAUACGUGAUAGGUUAUAAUUCAGAUAUAUUGUUUUACAGCAAAACUGUCCAUGUACAGUAAAUUUUUGGUUUUGGAAGAUUUUAUGUGCCAUAAACAUGGGUUUUAUUCCUCUGGCCACCUCGGGAUUUUUUCAGUAAUAUUUUUAUUUGCAUAAUUUCUUUAAUUUGUUUGAUUUUGCAGAUUGAGAAGCUCAGUGACAAACAGUGCCAACCUGAAUCACAGCUCAAGUUCAUAACAGAGGCCUGGCUACAGGUGAAUAUAAAGUUCCUUCGUAUGCAUAUUUAGCAUUUUGUUAAUUAGCAUUAUUGGUCUCUCUUCUGUAAAAAGAAAAGAUGAAUAAACCUUUAUACAUCAAAGCCUUUGAAACUGAAAUUGGCAUGUAUUAUUGAUUAUAGCUUAUGAUACUAUUGUCCAUAUGCAGAUUUUUUUAUUUUCUGGCAAUCUUUAAAGGGGAAAAAAGGAAAUCAAAAUUUGAAAUCUCUCUCUUAAAAAUAUUAAUACAUUGAAUAUAAGGUGAUUUAAGAUUAAGGUAAAGCAUUUAAAAAAUACUCUUUACCCUUGUUUACAGUCCUUGUAAAGGAGCUUCUUUUGUUGAUGCUAUGACUAAUGCCAUUUUGUUCAAUCAAAGGACCUUUCCUAUGAAUCACCAAAUCUCAUUAUGUUAUCUUCUCCUCCCCUUUCCCUUUUUCCAUUUUUUGGGUGCCUGUUGAACAUCCAAGGGGAACUGAUAUAUUGUUCUAUCCAUAAUUCAAACAAGUAUGUUUUUGCUUUUUCAUUUUUUUCUUUUUCCAUCCAUAAUUCAUCAUUCAUAUAGGUAUCUGCAAUUAUUGGUUUGUUUAUGGGUGCAUUGGUUGGGGAUUAGGUGGACCUUUCAGAUUAUUGGUAGUCAGAAGUAAUUGAGACUUAGUAGUAAACCGAAGUAACUGAAACUUAGUAGUGGUGGAGCUAAAAGUUCAAUAAUUUUUUUUUAAUCAAUUUUAUUACAAUUAAUUGCCAUACUUGUUAGAUAUAUUUGAUCUAACCUCUUAAUAUUUGCUGUUUGGAUUGUGCUUGGGGGUAGGGGAAUGGGCUAUUUCCAAUUUUUGGAUCCAUUUUAGACUAAAAGAGAAUAGUAAUGUAAUGAUGAUGAUUGUAUUUGAAUUUGUUGUUUGAGCAUGAAAUGCUAACAUUAUCACACUUUGUGAUCCUUUGUAUUUUUAGAUAGUUGAAUGCAGACGGGUGCUGAAAUGGACAUAUGCAUAUGGUUACUACUUACCCGAGCAUGAGCUUCCCAGGAGACAAUUUUUUGAGUACUUGCAAGGUAUGUAAUGCCCUUCAACCGCCCUACAAGGGAUAAAAUCAAGAAUUGCCUUUGUGAUUGAUUUGGAUUAAUCUAAGAGUGAUGCUUAUUUCUUAUGCAGGUGAGGCGGAGUCGGGUUUGGAAAGGCUUCAUCAAUGUGCAGAGAAGGAAUUACAAACAUACCUCAAUGUUGAUGGUCCAUCAGCAGAUUUCAAUGACUUCCGCACAAAGCUAGCUGGACUGACAAGGUAAUUCCUGCCUAGAAUUCUUAUGGAACUUAUGGAUAUCCGUGUUUUAUAUUUUCUGAUGCAAGGCAUGCUCCCUUUUUAACCACCUAGGGGAAAGUUGUAUUUUUCAUUGAAACUACUCUGUUAAAACCGUAUACCUCCUGUUCCCUGGAUAUAUUUUUUCUGGAGCAGGACAUUCUUCCAUAUCUCAGACUAAUCAGGUUAUGAUAAUCUUUUUGGAUUCAUUUGUAUUCCACUUUGUUAUAUGAUUUUCUUGCCCAUUUUCUGUUGUAACAGUGUAACACGGAAUUACUUCGAGAACCUGGUCAGAGCAUUGGAGAAUGGGCUGUCAGAUGUAGACUCUUAUGGGGCUUGUAGCAGGACGACAAGUUCAAAGAGCAUGGGAGGCACCAGUAAGGCUAGAGGUGGAAGGGGAAAGGGAACUACAUCCCGAUCCAGUAGCUCCAACAAAACCCCAGACGAUUCAAGUCGAUGGUAUUGUGAACACUGUGCUACUGCUAAUGCCAAGUCUGCCUACACAUGCCAGAUGUGCCACCAGCGACGGGCCUAAUCCUCCUUGCACCUGCUUAGAGUACCCUUUCAAAGCGCGCUCAAGAAAAAUGAAGGGGAUUUUCACUAGACAUUAAGGACAUAAACAAAUUCGGUGGUUCAUCCUCGUUCUGAGGCGGACAAACAGUGAAAGUGAAGUAGGAAUGGAAGAAAAGAAGUCGAGGAAACGGAGUGAGUUUACCGUCUUUUGUGUGUUCAACAGUGGCAUUUGAACAUGAUUUUCAUGUACAUAGUUUCUAUAUAUCUAUCUAUUUAUCCUUCUGUGAAUCUACUUGUUGAGGUUCUAAAACUUGCUUCUGCUCCAUCAUGUUGUAUUACGGACAUAGCCAGAGGCAAAAAGUGCAAAUAUACUCAUUUGUGUCUUUUUGAUUUCUCUUUUAAAAAAUUGAUUUUGUGCUGCUUCCCUCAAUGCUGUGUAAAGAACCAUCCCCACCCUCUUCUCGAACCCCUACCAUCAAAAUCAUAUCUAUAGAAAAUAGCAAUAUGCAUUUCUUUUCAGAGCUUUACACUGUUACAAUACUUUUUAUUGAAGCUAUAAAUAUAACAUGCUGAAGCUCUUCUUGCUUUGUUGAUGCUGGUUACAGUAAAUGCUAAUCUAUGCGAGGAAUCUGCCCAUGGCAUUGUGGCCGUGAGAGCUUCCUUCUAUUUCCUAUUUCUUGCAGUUCCGUUGUGUUAUACCUAGUUGUGGUUGCCCUUUCUUGAGCAGCUACAUCUGCAAAAGGCAUAAGCUGCUAUCAGUAAAGCUCCCUUUUGUUUGUUCAACAUGUCAUGUGCUUGGAAUGGUUGGGUAGGUGUAAUAUGUGGUUGUAUGACAUGUCUCCGGCUCAAAAGAGUGUGCAGAGAGCAUUGAGGUGUGCUGAAAGCACUUGUCAUUCUUGUAUGAUGUAGGCUCUGUUAAAGCAUUUUUUUUCUUCAGCUCAAAGUUGAAAAAUGUCUUUCCUUGUAGAAGCUCUAGUUGAGGUAUACAAGGUGGCUGUUUUUAUGCUUAAUCAUUUUUGUCAAUGCCAAUCUUACUCUUAGGAAUUAUGACUUUAAUCAUAUUCCACCGAGUAGGAAAUAUAUAUAUAUGCUACGAAUAUGAUAUUUUAAGAUAACAUAUCUGAAUAUGUUAUAUUAUAUUAUAUUUAUAUUUAAUUUACAAAAUGAAUAAAAAAAUAAUAUAAAAUAUAUAUUAUUUUCAAUAGUUAAAAUAAAAAUGAUAUUAUAUUUAAAAAAUUAAAAUUUCUUUUAUAUUUAACAAUAUCAUGAUUAAAAUUUUUAAACUUUAUAAAUGAUUUUUUAUAUUAUUUUAUUCAAUAUAUAAAAAUGAUUUAUAUAUCAUAUAGAUAUAUUAUUUAAUAAAUAUUUUUUUAGUUUUUUUUAAACUGUAAAUUUAAUUUAUAAUAAAAAAAUUUAUUUUCCAAAAUGAGUAUAUAAAAAAAAUUGAUAAAAAAAAUUAAAUUUAUGAUAAAUGGGAUAUGCAUAUGAAUCUCAUUCCCCAUGUAAAAAAGAUUAAAAAAAAAAACUAGAUAAUAUAUCUCAUCCCUUGUUGUAUCCCUUAUUUGGUUGUCUUCAACCAAACAUGAGAUAACCUUUCUCUUAUCUUAUCUCAAAUAUGAUCAAAAUUUAUUACAAAAUAUGAAAGAGAAUCCUUUCAUUGCCAAAUUUCCCACAAAGAAAACACUUGAUGAAAGCCCUAUAGCCUAUAUCCAUCAUUUGAAUCAUGCAUAUUGACAUUCAAAAUGGAGAACAAUGGACAAAGUCUAGGACAUAGUAUAUAAUAUAUAGCUGCAAUUUAAGAUGCAAAAAAUAAAACAUCUUCAUUCAUCAACCAAAUGAUAUGAUUAUGGGUGAUGAUUCCACCAACAUUGAACUCAAAUCCAUACAUGAGUUUCACUCUAAAAUUAAAAAACUCAGACCUUAAAGAUGAACUCCUCCCAUCAUGAAUUUCAACUUUCCAAACUCCUCUCUAGUGUGUGUGUGUAACAGGAAGCCAAAACUGUAGACAACUCAAACGCUUAUAGACAUAUUAUUUUUCUUUUGUACACAAUAGAUGCUUUUAUCUUCCAUACUUGUUUCUCAAGAGUGUAAAUAGGAUUACUUAACUCUUGCUUCCAGAUUACCUCUAAACAAACACUUGAUUUUGCAGUCGCAUAGAUCUGUUUUUCAGCAGCAUAGAUCUGUUUUCCAGCUGCAUAGAUUUGUUUUGCAGUGGCAUAGAUUUGUCUUUGAAGAUUCUCAUGCUAAGGGCAUUUAGCAUUGCUCUUGAGUACUGGCGCGACGACAUCUUCCAGUCCAUGCCCGUCUUCAUCAUCGCCUUGAACUCAUCAUAACUGAUCCGACCAUCCUAUAAAUUCCAAAAAUAAAAAAUAAAAAUGAGUGAUGCUUUGAUGCUGCAGGAAUGUUGCCAAUGGAGCUAGAAUUAAUCAUGUGUUAAUUUCUGAGGACUAGUUUCUAGUUACCUUGUCCAAAUCAACGUCGAAAAUGAUGUCUUGGAUCACCUGCUCAUUGUUGGGGCCAAGGUUAUCCUCUCUUAAGGCCUCUCUGAGCUCUUCAAACUCAAUGUACCCACUGUCGUUCUUGUCGAAAGCCCUAAAAGCUUCGCUCAGAUUUUCAUCGCUGCUGAUCUUUCUCAGGUGCACAGAAAUUGUUACAAACUCAUCACAGUUCAGUGUCCCGGUUCCAUCCAUAUCAGCCUUUUUGGACAGCAGCAGAGAGUUAGAUAACUAUGACAGUAAAGCUUAAUAGGAAGAAACAAGAUGGCUACAAUAUAUAACAAUCUGAAAAACUAGCGAAACCCCCCCAAAAAAAAAAAAACAACUCACAGCUUCAAUCAACAUCUUCACAUCAGGGUCGGCAACUGGAUGUCCAAUCUUGUGGAGUCCGUCUUUGAGCUCUUCAAAGCUCAAGUUUCCAUUUUUGUCAGUGUCCAUCAUGUGGAAUAUCUGUCUGAUUCCAUCUCGCUGCUCAUUUGGUAGGUUGUCUGCUACCACCUACAACAAAUGAAUGUAAAUCACUCAAUGAUUCUUGGGCUAGUUGGCUUCAGCAUUCAAGAUACAAUCAAGACAUGAGGAAACUUACUCUGAGAACCCUCUUCUUGAACUUGUUCAUCAAUGAGAAUUGCUUGAUCCUCGUCCUCACAUUUUCUCCAAGGGACACAUUAGGGAUGCUGGUGGCAUUUUUGAUCCAUGGAUGGGCUUCAUACAGCAAGAAAGAGAACAGUUGGUUGAUUUUUCGCUUUGGCAUGUUCAUAUGCUUGAUGAAAAUAUUGAUUAUAAUUCAAGAAUGCAAAGAAAACAGACCAAGGACUUCUUCAACAGUCAAGCGGUUAUAAGGGUUGGGAUCAAGCAUACUCCUCACUAGGUCCUUGGCAUCCUCAGAAACAUGAGGCCAAGGAUCCCUCUCAAAGUCUACAACAGACUUCACAAUUGCCUGUGCAAUCCCUUCUUCGGUUUCUGUACAACUCAAGGAAAAGAAUGCUUGUAUUAUAAACCAUUCCCACAAAUUUUCACGUUAAAUUGAAGACCUUUACCUGCCCAGAAGGGAGGAACUCCACAGAGUAGGAUAUAAAGAAUAACGCCUGCGCUCCAAACAUCGACUUCUGGUCCAUAGUGUCGUCUCAGGACUUCUGGGGCCAUGUAGUAGGGGCUUCCAACAAUUUCAUUGAACCGCUGGCCUAUCCUCAAAUCACAAAGUAGCAGAGUUCAGUUACAUGGAUGAAUAUAUACCCUACAUAUGAAAGGAAGAAAUUGGAAAUUAUGAAGCAUACCCGGCUUAAAGAAUAUGGAUAGCCCAAAAUCAAUUGCCUUCAAUGGUGAAGCUUCACUUGCAUCUGCAAACAAGAAAUUCUCGGGCUUUAGGUCUCGAUGCAUCACUCCAUGUUGAUGGCAUAUCUGCAAAAAUUUCCCCACAAAAAUCAACACUCUGAUACAAUUAAUUCAUCUGAAAGAAGAAAUAAACAAAUUUUCUGUCCUCGCUUACCUGAAGGAUCUCGACAAUACUUCUGGUGACAUCUGCGGCGGCCCGCUCUGUGUAGUGGCCGCGGGCGACAAUCCUAUCGAAGAGCUCGCCUCCCUCGCAGAGUUCCAUGACCAAAUGUACAUUAUCCUUGUCCUCAUACGCCUCCUUCAACCUUACGAUAUUCGGGUGCUUGGGCAAAUGCUUCAUAAUCUCCACCUCCCUCCUCACAUCCUGAAUAUCGAUCUCGGUCGUCAGCUUGCUCUUCGAAAUCGUCUUGCAGGCGAAGAUUUCCCCGGUCUCCAGGUCGAAACACUGGUGGGUUACCCCAAACUCCCCCCGCCCCAGCUCCUUCCCCAGCCUGUACGUCUUGUAAAUGUCCUUGCCGCUCGGCUCCUUCAACACCGAUAUCGGCCGGAUCGUCACCGAUUUCCGAAACACGUCGUCGCCGGAUUCAGGGAUGAUCUUUUUGGCCUUGGCUUUCUUCUUCUGGCCUGCCUUAGCAGGCAUGGAAAUGCAGCCUCCCAUGGGAUUAUUAGCUCAAAGUUAGAAUCCCAUGGGAAGGGAGAGGAUAGAUUUUUAGGGGGAGAGAGGAGGUGGAUGAAGAAAUAACAGAAAGGAAGUUUCAGGUUUUUGAAAAGUAGUUAAUCCGUUAUAUGUAAGGGUCCCGCCUUUUUCUAAGGGCCUUGGACGCCGUUCAUUUUUGACGGUUCGGGUUUGUCCAGGUGGCUUCGGACUUUGGCUUUUUGGGGCUGCCGUUAACCUUUCUGUCACACUUUCGUUGGAAAAUUGUUUGGUUCAACGGAAAAUAGUUUAGGAUGGAAAACCUAGUUACAAAUAAAAGUGAUGUUCAGUGUUUGAGUAUUAAUUAAAUAUCUUGAUAAAUAAUAUAAUAUAAAUUUAAUUAUUUAUGCUAUAAAUGUAUAACAUAAAAUAUAAUUAUUUAAUUAAAAUUAUUAUAUACUCGAUUUUGAUUUGGAUUAUAUAAUUUGAAUUUUUCUUGAAAAAAUAUAAAUGCAGUACAACCCACUUAUUUUAUUUUAUUUAAAAUAAAUAUAUUUUAUAAAUAAAUAAAUAUUAUAAAAUUUUAGACUUAUUUUAUCUGAGAAUGAGAUUGUUUUAGAGUUACCAAAUGAGGCAUUCCUUCAUCUAAAUUUAGUUCAAAUGGGUUUGCUGAAAUUUUUUAUAAAAAAGAAGUGAAUGUUCACAUGGGCUUUAUUUAAUUGGAAAGAGUUGAAGCAAGUUGUUAAGUUGUUAAUUAGUUUGGCAAUUAUCAAUUUUCAUUAGAGGUAACAUCCUUUAGUUAUAGUUGGUUCUCUAUGCUUCUAGAAUCUUCCGGUUGUUUCUCCACUCAAAUAUAAUAACUUAAGAAGAUCGAAAGUCUAGAACAAUUGUUGGAAACUCAUACAAAGAGAUACUAUGAAAUUGUUCCUCUAUUCAUUAUUAUUAUUAUUAUUAUUAUUUUUAAUAUGGUAUCAAAGCCAUUUGACUUGGCUCUAUGGCUUAAGUUGCAACAAUGACAACUAGUGUCUCCUCAUCGAGCACCUCCAAAACAAGCCGAGGACCUCCAAUGGCAACUCCCUCAUUGACAUUCUCAUCCAUACUUUCUCCACUAUCUUUGAAACUCACAAGGAACAACUAUGGAUUUUGGCACUUACAAAUUCUUCUUAUUGUGCAAGCUCUUGAUCUUGAAGGUUAUUUGCUUAGAACAAUAGUGUGUCCCCCUUGUUUCAUCCUGAACAGAAAUGAAAACUCUUUAAUAAUCAAUCUAUAAUUUGUGACCUAGGCCAUAAUAGACCAAUUCAUCUUGAGUGGGCUUUUUUUUUUUCUUCUUUCUAAGCUAAUGUUUGGUCGUAUUGUUCAAUGUAAAAUUGUUGUUGAAGUGUGACAUAUUUUUUUAUCAUUUGUUCUUCAUCAACUCCAAAUCUCGAGUACAACAUCUUCAAUAUACGUUUUUGUAAGAAGCUUUAAAGGGUUCUUUGAGUAUUACUAACUAUUUUCUACAAAUGUAGAUUGUUGAUAAUUUGUCUGCAAUUGGUAAGCCUAUCACUAAUGAGCAAUUGUUGAUGUGCAUCUUUGGUGGUUUAGUCAUGAAUUUGAUGAUGUAACGAUCCAUCUUCAAUCAAGAAAAGAUUUUGUCUCUAUUGAAGAAGCUCAAUUUCUUUUUCAAAAUUAUGAGAUGAGAAUUAAAAAACUCUUAACUCUAUUUCAAGAAUCAAUAAUCGACCCUUUGCUAACUUUGUUGCCAAGGCCACAAAAGAAAUAAGUACCAUUUCUCUAGAGCUCCUAACGGUAGUUCUUUUGUAGUGGUCAUAUUUAUAAUGACAAAAAUUUUAUGUAGCAUCUCUAAAUUCACCAAGGAUAACAAUAUAGUUGUCGAAUUAUAUGAUGAUUGUUGUCUUGUGAAGGACAAGAACAGGAGGAGGAUUUUGAUGUAGGGCAAGCUUGAAGGAGGGCUUUAUCAACUCGAUGUUCUAGUUUUCUCUACUUCUAGCUUCAAUUUUCCUUUAGUUUCUUUAGCACAUGUUAAAUCUAAUGAGUCUUGUACGAAGGUUAUGGACGCUUGGUCAUCCUUAUGACCAAGUGUUGAAUGAUGUACUCACGAUUUUACAUUUGUCUCUUAUAGCUAAGAAUCUUCAAUUCUGUGAAGCUAGUCAGUCGGAAAAACAGGCUAGAUGGUUUUAGAGCUAAGGACUUUGCUUCUAGAAUCUUCUAAUUGUAUUCAAGAAGAUCAAAAGCCCUAAUAAAUUGCUGGAAACUCCUAUGAAGAAACACUUUGAAAUUGUUUCUCUUAUUAAUUUUGUAUGCUUUAGAUCAAUGUCACAUGAAACUAUGGGGGCACACCCAUCUAAAAAAAGGCCCCUCUUUCCUCAGACCCCUUCUUGUAUUUCUUUUUCUUAAUCACCAAAAGGCCUUAUUCCCUACAAAUUUUCUUGCAAACCAAACAUCAGGGGGAAACUUCAACCUUUCUUUUCCUUACUUUCCCCCACCCUCCCUCAACAGAACACUUUAGUUUAAUUACAAAGCUCCGACAGUACUUCAAAGAUUGGAAAAAAUACACAAGGGAGAAACAGAAAAACUAAUCAAAAUUCCAUAGAUUUACCAAAUUCUCACUGGAUCUAGAAGAAAAAACAUACAAAGAUCGUCUCAUCUACAUACAAAACCUCUCACUUAUCCUUAAUUCAGACAUGAAACAUCCCUAGAACCCUUAUCCACAGCUGCUGCAGUCAACCUCUCAGCGACAAAGUGUGGGAAGCAACAAUCCACUCGGGUCAACCAGGAAACCCCAAUAUUCCUCCAUGAAGACUCCAACACCAGCAAAACAACAUACAGAAACACCACCACAGAGAUUGCAGUGGAGAGACAAAGCUGAUCUUCUGUCAAACUCAACAACAUCUUCACACAUAGAAAUGUUUGGGGUUGGGUUGUGAGGAGUGGAGACAGAGAUAAAAGGAAGCUAUAUGCAGAUGGGAAAGGAGUUGUUUCAACGAAUUUGGUAUGGUGGAUGAAUCAAAGGUGUUCAAUCAGUGAGUGUCAGAGGGGGGCGCAUGAAGACUUCUGAGUGAAGUCAUGAUGAGGGUGUGGGCACCAUUCAUUGAAUAUGAGUGCAUGUUGCUGUGGGUUAUCACCCUUUAUCAUAUUCUUUUGAUGGAAUCUCGCUCUAAGUUCAUGCAUCACUGUUAUGUUCCCUACAAUACAUGCACCUUCUUAGGGAGGUCAAAUUUUAGAAACAUUUGUCAUUAUCUUCUAGAAUGCAAUUUUACCUUAGAAUUUAAAUAUAAUUUUCUUUUAUUCAUUUUUUCAAUGAAAUUAUUAUAUAUUUAUAUGUAAUGUAAAUUUUUUUAAGGUAUUCUUUAUAUUUUCAAUUAUUAUUUAAAAUACUAUAUAAAAAAUAACUUAAAAUACCUAAAAAUUAUAUAUUUUAAAAAGCAGUUUGCUUUCAGAACAAUUUUUUUAAAGAAAAAUAUUUUUAUUAAAUAUAUUUACUAAGUUAUAAAACUAUUUUCAUAGUUUUGUACUCAUAUCCUUGUGAUUCAAAAUAAGGGAGAUGUUUAACGAAAUUUCAAAUCAAUAAGAAUUAAACGUAUUUAGUUAAAAUCUGAUAAAAAAUGGAAGAAAUUAGUCAUGUCUUUUGAAAUUUUUUAAUAAACUCAUCUUUCUAGAUAGUCAAAGUUUGAAAUAAGAAUAAACAAAACAUUUAAGUUAUAAAGAUUGAGAUUAAAUGCAUGAACAAAGGUUACAAUGACCAAGAGCUUUCAUUUAUUAUUUUUUUUCAAGGUGACACCUCUUAUACCAUGAAUGAUUUUAGAACUUUAGAAUUCUAUACAAAUAAGCUAGUCAUAAAUAAACAAAAACUAAAAUAAAAUAAAUGGAAUGAAAAUGCAAGAUUUAACAUGAUUUAAUUACAUGCUUACAUUGAGAAAAUCAAUUCACAAAGAACAAUUACAAUCCUAAAAAGCUCUCAAAUCCCAAGUCCCAAAUGAUAUAUUUUAUGAUAUAGAGAGAUAUUUGACUUUUAAUAUUUUAUUCCAUAAAUCGUUUAUAUAUUUUUAUUGAACUCGUCUUUUCCAAAAAAACAAGUUUACUUUUUAUGAAUUUAUUUUUUAUCUUAUAAAUUUUUAUACUGAAUAUCUUCUAAAAAGAUGAGUUAAGAAUGGUUUUACUUGAGACCAAGGAUCUAUUUGACAAUUGUUUUCUAUUCUAAAAAUAAAAUAUAUUUGACAACCAAAAAUUGUUCCUAUUUUUAAUUCUUAAAAACAGAAAAUGAAGUGUUUUCAAUUUUUAAGAACAAAAAGCAGAAUGUUUUCAAAUAACAUCUUUUAGUUAUUAUUUAUUUAUUUUUUUAUAACUAUUUAAAAAAAUAAUUAUACAAGCAUAUAAAAUGAUUAAAAAUAAAACAGUAGAUAUAAAAAUUAUUUUGAAAAUAUUUUAAGUUUCUAAACAGAAUUUUGUUUUAUAAAACAUUUUUUAAAAACCAUUUUUAAAAAAACAAUAACCAAAUAAUUUAAAAUUAAAAAUAUGGUUGAUGAAAGAUUCUUUAAAAAAUUACACUACCUUGAAAAAGGCCCAUUAAUGACUUUUAGUUAUUCAUUGAAUCCAUGCACAUGUUGGCUGUCAUCACUCUCAAUGAUUUUUUUUUUCAAUUAUAAAUUUUAACCUAAAUCCUCAACUAUUCAUGGCUGUUCCAUCACUACAAGUUCUACCACCAAAUUUUCACUGUCUUGUAAGUUGUAACUAGUCUAUCAUAAUGCUUGUCUUAACAUAUAGAUGAUGAUAUCAUGAAACUUUGGUAUUGUUUGGUCCACGAGAAAAUUAACAAAUUCUUGAUUCAAUUACAUCAAUCCAAUCAAAUCAUUAUUGUUACAUCCAAACUAAUAAUAUAUUUUAUGAGUAGUAUGAAAAAAAAAAAAAUGUUGGUUUUAGUUUUGUAAGUGAAUAUUUGUAUUUUUCAAUUAUUUUUAGGUGUUGGUGAAAUUCAUUUUAUAUAAUAUUUUUUUUACAUUAAAUUAAGAAGGUGAAAUUUUUUCCCUUUUUCUUUUAAAAAAUUAAAAUAAACAUUAAUAGUAAUUUUUAUAUAAAUAUAAGGAACUUUUAAUAACUAAAGCCUGCGUGAUAACUUUAUUUUUUUAAAUAGUUUUGAAAAAUAUUUUUAAGAACGAUUAUUAAAAAUUAUUUUAUGAUAUUUUGUAUAACAAAAGAUUGUUUGAGAGUUUGAAAUAUUUUUAAUCUAUUUUUAAAUAUAUUUUAAAAAUAACUUUUAUAUCUAAUGAUUUAUUUUUAUUCAUUUUAUAUGUUUGUAUAAUUAUCUUUUAAAAUAAAUUUUUAAAAAGAAAUAAAAAAAACUAAAAACAACUAAAAAUAUUUUUUAAGAACAAAAAUAAAAAACAGUUUUAUGGUUGCCAAAAGCGUUUUCUUCUUUGUUUGUUCUAAAUAACAUAAAAUUAUUCUUGAAAAUAAUUAUCAAAUAGACCCAAAUAUUCUUAAAAAUUGAUAUCAAAAUUUAAAAAAAUGAGUAGUUAUAUUUUUUUCAAAUUAUUUUCUUUAAAAAAAGUCUCUUCCAUUUGCAUAAAGAUUAUUAUUACUUAUUUACUUUGAAAAUAGAUACAAACUCCAUCAAAACUUUUUGAUCAAAUAUUAAAGUUUGUUUGGUAAUUAUUUUUUAAAACAGUUAUGAAAAAACAACUUUUAAGAAUAGUUUUUAAAAAUUGUUCUUUAACAUUUUGUAAAAUAAAAGUCUAUUUGGAAACCUAAAAUAUUUUUAACAUGUUUUUAAUAUUUUUAAAUAUGUUUUAAAAAUAAUUUUUAUGUUUAUUAUUUUAUUUUUAAUCAUUCAACACACUUAUAUAAUUAUUAUUUUUAAAACAAUCUUAAAAAAAAACAAAUGAAAAUAAUAAAAUAAAAAAAACAACGAAAAGAUGUUUUUUGAAAGCACCAUAUUUUUUGUUCUUAAAAACAAAAAACAAAAAAUAAUUCUUAAAAUUGUUCUAUUUUUUUUUUAUAUUUUAGAUAAUAGAAAAUUGUUUUCAAGAACUAUUACCCAACUGGUCGUUAUAUAUUGGAAAACGGGUACAUGGAAUGAAUUAUCGUUUUUAAGGUAAAAUGAUCAUCUUCUAUUUUUAUAAGAAUGAUUUUGGUCUGAGUGAGAUAGAAGUGAUAAUACUUGAAAUUAAUUAUUUUCUAUAAAUUUGAUGCUUCCAAAAUUUCAUAAAAGUCGUGCUUCUAAAAAUUUAAUUCUUUUAUACCAUUUCAUCUAAAAAAAAUAUAUAUACUUUUAUAUUCAAAUAUUGAAGAAAUAAAACACUCUUAUAAAAGUUCUACACAAAAAUUGUUACAGGUCAAAAAUAUUUUUAAUAAAAUUACCUUUAAACAACCUAUAGAUUGCAAAAUUUGUCUAAAUUUUAUUUUUAAAUUAAUUUUGAGCCUAAUUUUGUCAAUAAAUUUUAAAUUCUAAUUACAUAUGUUUUUUUUAGCCCAACGACCCUUUAAUCUUAAUUUUUAUUGUUUUGUAUUCUUUUUUUAUUUUAUUAUUAUUAUUAUUAUUAUUAUUAUGUUUUAUUUUAUUUUAUUUUUACUUUUUUUUCUUUUUCUCUCCUCUCUCUUCCUCCCAUAUUAUUAUGUUUUUUUUAUUUUAUUUUUUCCCCUCUUUAUUCUUCUACUAUUUCCUCUCCCCCAUUCCCCUCUUCCUUUUUUCUUUUUCUACUUCUCCUUGGACUCACGAUCGGCUCCCUUAUUUGGGUUUCUCAUUCUCUUCUUCUACUAUUUCCUCCCACCCAUUCCCCUCUUUCUUUUUUCUUUUUCUGCUUCUCCCUGGACUCACGAUCGGCUCCCUCAUUUGGGUUUCCCCAUUCUCUUCUUCUACUAUUUCCUCCCCCCCCCCCAUUUCCAAGAAUGGUCGGCCCCCCAUUCCCCUCUUCUUUUUUUCUUUUUCUGCUUCUCCCUGGACUCACGAUCGGCUCCCUCAUUUGGGUUUCCCCAUUCUCUUCUUCCUCUUCUCUCCCCCAACUCUCAUGUGGCCGACUCCUCCAUUUUCCCCAUUCUUCUUCAUUUUUUUUUCCCAACACCACUCCUCACACUCUACUCAUAGUCGGCUCCCUCAUUUGGGCUUCCCCAUUCUCUUCUUCCUCUUCUCUCUCCCAACACCCAUUUCCGGCCACACGUGCCCCCCUCUCAAUUUUUCCCCUAUUUUUUUCUUUUUAUUUUAUUUUUCUUCCUCUUCUACCCAUUUUUCUUCCAAUCUUUUUCCCUCCAUUUUUCUUUCCUUUCUCUUCCUCCACCAUACCCCACUUCCAAAGACACACCACAUGACCCUUUUCUUUUCCCCCUUUUCUCCCAUCCUCUCCUCAUUUCUCCAUUUUUUUUCUACUCUUCAUUUUUUUUUCUUUUUUUAUUUUUUAUUUUAUUCCCAAAAAAGCCAUCAACUAUCUCCGACAUGAUCACCGACCAACCGUCGUCGGCAAACCCCUACUGGCCAACGACCUCCUCUCCUUUUAUCUCAUUCUCUCAUUUUCCCAUCACACCCAAUUCUCAUUAUUAUUAUUAUUAUUAUUAUUAUUAUUAUUAUUAUUAUUAUUAUUAUUAUUACUACUACUACUACUAUUACUAAUUUUUUUUCUUUAUAUUUCUUGAUUUGAUUUUAAUAGUAAUUACGGUUAAAAUUGAGCUUGUGCAUUUAUGUUUAUUUGUGGGCCUUAUGUUUGGGCUUUGUUAAUUAGUAUGAAAUUUAGGUUAAUUUGUUAUUGGUAAAUUAAUAUGAAAUUGGGGAUAAUUUAUUGUUGGUGAAUUAAUUUAGAAUUGACUAAUUUAGAUUAGAUUAAUUGAUAAUUAUAUGGUUGUGCUCAUUUUAAUUAUUUAAUUUGGAUUGAUAUAAUAUUGUGGUAUAUUUUGGAUGUGAGUUUGCAUAUUAAAUUAGGUUGAUUUUGGUUGUGGAUUUAAAUUUUACAUAUUAAAUUGGGCAUCGAUUAUGAGAUAUUAAAUUUAGACUUAAUUGAAUUUAUUUUGAUUUAUUGUAUCUGGGUUUGACUAAUUGUGCUUGUAUUUUGAUAAUUAAUUGAGAAAUUUUGCACUAUGAUUAUUGAUAUGUAAGAUAUUUUUGUAGGGUUAUACUUACUGAUUUGGGUCUAUUUUUAAUUGGUAAAAUUUGUUAAACUAAUUUGAAAUUCGAAUUUGGGUUUGAAUAUUUGUUUAUGAUUUUGUACAUUUCUAGAUAUUUACAUUUGAGCUAUUUUUGUUUUUGCAUGGACCUAUUCUGUAGUUUUGUUGGCUGAAAUUGAUGACACGUGGAACAUGAAAUUUUAUGGAAGAAAGUGAGAUUGAAAAAGCUGUCAAAAGACAUUGAGCUUGUUGUAAGUUUAUUUUGGUACAUAUUUUAUUUCUCACUUUUAUUUGGUUUUAUUUUUAUUAAUUCUUGUAAAUAUUCGUUCGUAUAUAUUUAUUGAGUGUGUACAGAAUUGAACAUCGAACAAACUAGAAAUUUUGUUUAAAUGAGAGGAAGAAUUCAAUAAAUACGUUUGAAUAAAAUAAUAAUUUUAAAAUAAUUUUUUUUAAUAAAAGAAAGUUUUUUUUAUUAUAAAAAUUCAGAAAAAUGCAUUUAGAAAAAUCCAAAAGAAUUGUUUGUAAUAGAAUUUGAAAAAUUGUCCAAAAAUUGUUUUGUAAAUAAAGUUGUCCCAAAAAUUAAUUUUUAAUAAAAUUUUCCAAAAAAUGUUUUUUUUUAAAUGAAUUUUUUUCCUUAAUUAAAAUGAGAUUAAAAGUAUUCUUUUUAGAAAUAAAGGAUUAUUUUUUUUUUCUUUCUUUUUAAUUAAAAUUUCUUUUGUAAAUAAAGUUAUGUAUUUUUAAAUAAUUUCUAUAAAUCUCUUUUUUUAAAUGAAAAUGAAUCAAAAUACUUUUGUAAAUAAAAUUGUAAAAAUUCAUUAUUUCCUAGUAAAAACAAGUAAAAAUAAUCUUUGUGCUCAAAUUGAAAUUUUGUAAUAAAUUCUUUUGAUACAAGAAGUGUAAAUAACUUUUCUUGAAAAUUAAAUACAAAUGAAAUUGAAUCAAAUCACUUGAAGAAAAUAUUUUGUAAAUACGUAAAUUGAAAUCACUUAUUCAAAAUUGUUUUUAAUAAAAUCAUUUGAAAUUUUCAGAAAACUAAUUUUUUUUUCAAAUAUUUUUUUAAUUAGUUCAAUAAAUCAAUUUGCAUAAUCCUCUUGUCACUUAUUUUGUGUAUCAUUGUAAUUAGGUUUCAUCAUUAUUUUUGUGUAUAUUGAUUUUCAUCGUGAUUUGUACAUACUCAUUUGCAUGAUUAUUUUUUUUAUUAUCCAUAAUUAAUUAAUUAAUUGUCACGAUCCCUUAAUUCGUUUAGUAGAAGUCGUACGUAUACGGGCUUAGAGAGGUGCUAUGGCUCACUACCGUACCUUCCUAAUAAGUAACCUGACCCCCAUACCCAGACUCGAUUUUUCACAGACUUAUUUUUCCUUCAAGAGUCAUACUUGGAAUUUUUCUUUCUUAUUUUGUUUUUCCCUUAAAAAAAAAUGGCAAUUCCAAGUCUUUUUCUAAAAAUUAAAUUUUCACAAAAUUCGUAGAAUGCAAACCUCCCACUAUGAUGAGACAUUCGUGCACUAGAAGUAUCAAGAAAGGAAUGUGCUUAUACCUAUAGAACCAUAGUACUCUAUGCAAUAUGAGAAAGAGAUGUGUUUAUACCGUUCCAUAGUACCUUGUGUAAUAUGGGAUUAUCUUCGAAUGUCCUCCGGUCUAUAUCAUUCUUUGCUUUAUUUUUAUCAUAUAUUUUUCAUCAUAAGUUGAUGUUUGUAUCAACAAAUGCUUUCUAAUUGUCUUGACUAUAAAGGUAAUAAUCCUUAAAAUCCUCUUGAAUAUCUUAUAAACUGAUAUGCCUCUUACCUUAUUUCCAACUAGUUUACAUUUGAGUUCAACACGAGUAUUGGACACUCUUAUAUGCAAAUAUUUUUGUAAACCAAGUUUACAACGUGUCCACAUAUCUAGAAGUCAAAGUUACCAACCUAGUAAUGGAAGUAAAAUACAGUCUCCAAGGCAUAUCCCAAACAGAUAUGGGAAGUGAUGAGAAACCAAUUGUCAAUCUCAUUAUAUCUAUCAAAGUUCAAUUUCUUUUUUCCAUUACCCCAUUUGUAAUGAAGUCCUUGGUGCACACAAUUAGGAUAUAAUCACGUGUUCCUAUGGAAAGAAUUGAACCUACUAGACACACCACCUUGAUUUAAUUGAAGUGCAAUGAUAUGUUAACCCAAUAGAUCAUUUGAUUUUGCCUUAAAUACACCAAAUUUAUCUAAGGCAUCAAGUUUCAUAUAUACUAAAUACACAUAUCCAAACCUAGAGUAUUAAAAAAUAAAAGUGAUAAAGCACCCAUACCCUCCUCAUGUAUGAACUCCAAAGUUACAUACAUGUCAAUAUGUACUAACUCCAAACAUUCAUUAGCUCUAUAUCCUUUUGCAAUAAAAGUCUCUUGGUUAUUUUAUCACCUAUACAGGAUUCACAAAUUGGAAGAUCCUUUGGAACCAAAGUGUUUAUACUUAAUCAAUCUUUGGAUCCUGUUUAGAUUUAUAUGACUUAGGCAUUAGAAGUCAAAUGUUUGAUUAAUGCUAGGUUCAUUAUUAAGAUCUAACAAUUCUCAUUACUUAGCAAAGUGGUAAUGGAGUCACACAUAAAAGAGAAAGGUAAUUCCUCCCAGUAGCUUGCACAACUAACCUUGCAAUUGAAGCUAAGAUAAGUACAUCCCCAUUAUGAAACCUUCUCUAUAUCGAAUAUCUUGUAAUUAAUUACAGAUAAUGGGCCUAAAAUGAAUCCACCACUAAAUUUAUUCAACAAUGACUCUAUGAUGUGUACCUUUCUACUCUUAGGCAAUAUGCACAUUCCUUUUUCAAUAUCUCAAAGGGUUACAAAGAAAUUACUCUUCUUGACCUUAUACUCAUUCAUUUUCUUGAACUUUCCUUAUUUGAUGUUAUUCUUCUUCUCUUUGGUAGAAGAGCUUGAGAAACCUCUAACUUCCAUAUGAACACUUUUCAGUUUUUUGAAAUCCUCUUAUCCAUCCUAAUGGAAUUUGGUAAGAUCUUUAAGAUCAUAUAAACUAUGAUGUUCAAAAUAGUCCUAAGGGCAACUUGUUUAUUUAACUUGAAAAAAUAUAAAUUAAGUGGGACCCACUUAUUUUAUUUUAGUUCUAAUUUUAUUAAAAAUAAAUAUAUUUUAUAAAUAAAUAAAUAUUAUAAAAUUUUAGACCUAUUUUAUCUAAGAAGUAGAUUGUUUUUAUUAUUGUAUGUGUUAAAAAUAAAAUAAAAAUUAAAUUAAAUUAUUUUAAAAUUUAACUACAUAUAUAAUUGGAACAUAACAUAAUAAGACAAUAUUUUAUCUUAUCUCAAAUUAUAAUAACUACAAAUUUUUAUAAUUAGUUUGAAGAAAGAAAUUACUAUUUUUGUUACCAGAUGAGGCAUUCCUUCAUCCAAAUUUAGUUCAAAUGGGUUUGCAAAAUUUUUUUCAAAGAAGUGAAUGUUCACAUGGGCUUUAUUUGAUUGGAAAGAGUUGAAGCAAGUUCUUAUGUUGUUAAUUAGUUUAGCAAUUAUCAAUUGUCAUUAGAGCUAACAUUCUUUUGUUAUAGUAGGUUCUCUAUGCUUCUAGAAUCUUCCAAUUGUAUCUCCACUCAAAUAUAAUAACUUAAGAAGAUCAAAAGUCCUGAACAAUUGUUGAAAACUCAUACAUAAGAUACUAUGAAAUUGUUUCUCUAUUCAUUGUUUUUUUUAAUAUGGUAUCAAAGCCAUUUGACUUACCUCUAUGGCUUAAGUUGCAACAAUGACAAUUAGUGUCUUCUCAUCGAGCACCUCCAAUGGCAACUCCCUCAUUGACAUUCUCAUCCAUACUUUCUCCACUAUCUUUGAAACUCACAAGGAACAACUAUGGAUUUUGGCACUUACAAAUUCUUCUUAUUGUGCAAGCUCUUGAUCUUGAAGGUUAUUUGCUUAGAACAAUAGUGUGUCCCCCUUGUUUCAUCUUGAACAGAAAUGAAAACUCUUUAAUAAUCAAUCUAUAAUUUGUGACCUAGGCCAUAAUAGACCAAUUCAUCUUGAGUGGGCUUCUUUUUUUUUUUUUCUUUCUAAGCCAAUGUUUGGUCGUAUUGUUCAAUGUAAAACUGUUGUUGAAGUGUGGCAUAUUUUUUUAUCAUUUGUUCUUCAUCAACUCCAAAUCUCGAGUACAACAUCUUCAAUAUACGUUUUUGUAAGAAGCUUUUAAGGGUUCUUUGAGUAUUGCUAACUAUUUUCUACGAAUGAAGGAGAUUGUUGAUACUUUGUCUGCAAUUGGUAAGCCUAUCGCUAAUGAGCAAUUGUUGAUGUGCAUCUUUGGUGGUUUAGUCAUGAAUUUGAUGAUGUAAUUGUCAAUCUUCAAUCAAGAAAAGAUUUUGUCUUUGUUGAAGAAGCUCGGUUUCUUUUUCAAAAUUAUGAGAUGAGAAUUAAAAAACUCAACUCUAUUUCAAGAAUCAAUAAUCGACCCUUUAAUAACUUUGUUGCCAAGGCCACAAAAGAAAUAAGUACCAUUUCUCUAGAGCUCCUAACGUAGUUCUUUUGUAGUGGUCAUAUUGCAUUGAAGUGUUACCAUUGGUUCAACAUUAGCUUCAUAGAACCACCACAACAAUAGCAAUACAAAAAUUAUGCUCAAUAAGACACUCAUUCACAAGACAAUGCUCAAGCUUACUUUGUCAUGGUAGCCACAUUUUAUGAUCUUAAUUGGUAUAUGGAUACAAAAGCAACAAAUCGCAUUACUACUAAUCUCAACAAUCUAACCCUCAAGAUAGACUACAAAAGCAAAGAAACACUUGAUGUAGACAAUGGUAAUUCUCUAAAAAUACGUCGUAUUGAUUUUUUAACUAUAUCCUCUAGUUUUUCACCGCAACCAUUAUAUCUCAAGGAUAUCUUAUACAUACAUAUAAUUACAAAAAUUUUAUGUAGCAUCUCUAAAUUCAUCGAGGACAACAAUAUAGUUGUCGAAUUAUAUGAUGAUUGUUGUCUUGUGAAGGACAAGAACAUGAGGAGGAUUUUGAUGUAGGGCAAGCUUAAAGGAGGGCUUUAUCAACUUGAUGUUCUAGUUUUCUCAAGAAACUUGAAAACUUUCUCGACCUCUAGCUUCAAUUUUCCUUUAGUGUCUUUAGCACAUGUUAAAUCUAAUGAGUCUUCUACGAAGGUUAUGGACACUUGGAAUAGCAGGCUUGGUAAACCUUAUGACCAAGUGUUGAAGAAUGUACUCACGAUUUUACAUUUGUCUCUUAUAGCUAAGAAUCUUCAAUUCUGUGAAGCUAGUCAGUAGGAAAAAACAUGCUAGAUGUUUUUAGAGCUAAGGACUUUGCUUCUAGAAUCUUCUAAUUGUAUCUACUCUUAAAUAUAACUCAAGAAGAUCAAAAGCCCUAUUAAAUUGCUGGAAACUCCUAUGAAGAAACACUUUGAAAUUGUUUCUCUUAUUAAUUUUGUAUGCUUUAGAUCAAUGUCACAUGAAACUAUGGGGGCAAACCCAUCUAAAAAAAGGCCCCUCUUUCCUCAGACCCCUUCUUGUAUUUCUUUUUCUUAAUCACUAAAAGGCCUUAUUCCCUACAAAUUUUCUUGCAAACCAAACAUCAGGGGGAAACUUCAACCUUUCUUUCAUUACUUUCCCCCACCCUCCCUCAACAGAACACUUUAGCUUAAUUACAAAGCUCCGACAGUACUUCAAAGAUUGGAAAAAAUACACAAGGGAGAAACAGAAAAACUAAUCAAAAUUCCAUAGAUUUACCAAAUUCUCACUGGAUCUAGAAGAAAAAACAUACAAAGAUCGUCUCAUCUACAUACAAAACCUCUCACAUAUCCUUCAGACAUGAAACAUCCCUAGAACCCUUAUCCACAGCUGCUGCAGUCAACCUCUCAGCGACUAAGUGUGGGAAGCAACAAUCCACUUGGGUCAACCAGGAAACCCCAAUAUUCCUCCAUGAAGACUCCAACACCAGUAAAACAACAUACAGAAACACCACCACAGAGAUUGCAGUGGAGAGACAAAGCUGAUCUUCUGUCAAACUCAACAACAUCUUCACACAUAGAAAUGUUUGGGGUUGGGUUGUGAGGAGUGGAGACAGAGAUAAAAGGAAGCUAUAUGCAGAUGGGAAAGGAGUUGUUUCAAUGAAUUUGGUAUGGUGGAUGAAUCAAAGGUGUUCAAUCAGUGAGUGUCAGAGGGGGGCGCAUGAAGACUUCUGAGUGAAGUCAUGAUGAGGGUGUGGGCACCAUUCAUUGAAUAUGAGUGCAUGUUGCUGUGGGUUAUCACCCUUUAUCAUAUUCUUUUGAUGGAAUCUCGCUCUAUGUUCAUGCAUCACUGUUAUGUUCCCUACAAUACAUGCAUCUUCUUAGGGAGAUCAAAAAUUAGAAACAUUUGUCAUUAUCUUCUAGAAUGCAAUUUUACC